CUUUAUGUUGUUUCGUUCUAGUUGAUCAGUAGUGGAGCCCAGUUGGGGUCGAUCGGGGACCUUUGUCGCAUUUGGGGUUCUUCUUUUAUUUUGGUUCCGUAGUCGGACCAUGAGUGUAUUUGGUUGAUGUAAUGCUUUAUUCAUGUAAUUGUGUGAAGUGACGAUUGUAAGCCAACUAUGUAUCCUUUCCCUUAUUUAUUACAUGGGUUUUGUGAAGAUUACCUCACUUGCGACAUAUGCCUUCAAUGCGAUUAUGCCUCUAAGUCGUGCCUCGACACGUGGGAGAUAUAGUCGCAUCGAUGGUGUUACAAGUUGGUAUCAGAGCCUUCCCCGACCUUAGGAGCCCCCACUGAUUGAUCGCUUUUAGCGGCCGAGUUGUGUCUAGAAAAAAAAUGUUUUGAGUCUUUAGGAAUUAUAUAUCGAAGAGUUUAGGAAUUCUUUUUACUUCCCAGUCUCCUCAUCGCUCUGGUAAGGCAUCCUGGCGUAGAGUUUUGACUCUUCUCUUCUCAAAUUUCACUAAAUUUUUUUUUAGGAUCACGCGGGUAUCUUGGAAUCGUUCCGAUGGUUUUAUGAUGAGAACAUUGUCUUGGUGCCUCCUGUCAGGGGUUUAGUGGAAGUGUCCCGGGGAGUUGAGCUCUGAGGUGUUGUCGUCAUAAUUUUAUCGUUGCAGUUCUGAAAUACCUGAGUUUAGUACGCCGACAUCGAAAAUCUCUUUUAUGCAGUUCAUUGGUGAGAUAACCUCGACGCCACCCAGUACUGGGGCGGGAGUUCGGGAGUAUUGCCAUAACUUGUAUAACGGAUGCUUUUCGAAGGUUGAGGUAGAUGGUUUCCGAAGGUUUCUUGGUUAUGUGUUGAAGGAUGGAUACAUCUGGAUGCAGGAUUUGCUAGUUUGGGUGAGAUAUUAUGCUUCCCCUGUAUCCCCAACACCUGAUUGCAUAACCGGUUCGGGAGUUUCAUAGGUGGGAAUUCAAGUAGCUCUUAGGAUAUCUUUCCGACAGAUGUAUGAUAUGAAAUUGGGGUUCGACGUCUAGUGGUUCGCCUAUUCACGGUCGAUUUUACAGUGGUCUCGUUGUGUCUUAAAGAGUCCUUGGCUAUGCUGACUCGGGGACGCUUCGUAUGUCAUGUGCACUGCCUUGUACAUGAUGGUGUUGUACGAUCGAGCCCGUGUAGGUCCCACCACGAAAACUUCAGACGAAAUCUCUAUCAUAUGUUUGCUCCGGCUUAUUUUGCAAGCCAAUCCUUUAAUUUUGUUUUGAGUUGUGGUAUUCGAGUUGCUUCGAAGUCAAAUGUUGAUUCCAUACCUUCCCCAAAUGGUGUUCUCAUAUUCCUAUGUGAAUACUAAUCCUUCUUGAUCAUCAAGAUUGUUUUGCCAAUCCUUUUUAAUCGGUGUGCUUCUCUUCAAGUGGAUCCGAUCAUUUUAACUUCCGCAAGAUCAAAUAUCAGUUUCUUCUCAAUGGUGUUUGUUUCAUCCAUCUCCAAGUUGCCUUUGUUUUUCCCACCCUCCCACCCUUGUUUUCUUCAAGGAUUCAGAUUUCUUAAUCACUAUCCAUUUUAUUGAUGGAAGUCCCUCCGUUCUAUUUCCUUCAAUGUUCGUAUCCGGUGUUUCUCAUGAAGAUUCUAACGGAGCUUCAAUUUCGUCAUUCUUCAUUCUUUUUCUUCUCCGGUGNNNNNNNNNNNNNNNNNNNNNNNNNNNNNNNNNNNNNNNNNNNNNNNNNNNNNNNNNNNNNNNNNNNNNNNNNNNNNNNNNNNNNNNNNNNNNNNNNNNNNNNNNNNNNNNNNNNNNNNNNNNNNNNNNNNNNNNNNNNNNNNNNNNNNNNNNNNNNNNNNNNNNNNNNNNNNNNNNNNNNNNNNNNNNNNNNNNNNNNNNNNNNNNNNNNNNNNNNNNNNNNNNNNNNNNNNNNNNNNNNNNNNNNNNNNNNNNNNNNNNNNNNNNNNNNNNNNNNNNNNNNNNNNNNNNNNNNNNNNNNNNNNNNNNNNNNNNNNNNNNNNNNNNNNNNNNNNNNNNNNNNNNNNNNNNNNNNNNNNNNNNNNNNNNNNNNNNNNNNNNNNNNNNNNNNNNNNNNNNNNNNNNNNNNNNNNNNNNNNNNNNNNNNNNNNNNNNNNNNNNNNNNNNNUUCCUAUGUGAAUACUAAUCCUUCUUGAUCAUCAAGAUUGUUUUGCCAAUCCUUUUUAAUCGGUGUGCUUCUCUUCAAGUGGAUCCGAUCAUUUUAACUUCCGCAAGAUCAAAUAUCAGUUUCUUCUCAAUGGUGUUUGUUUCAUCCAUCUCCAAGUUGCCUUUGUUUUUCCCCCCCUCCCACCCUUGUUUUCUUCAAGGAUUCAGAUUUCUUAAUCACUAUCCAUUUUAUUGAUGGAAGUCCCUCCGUUCUAUUUCCUUCAAUGUUCGUAUCCGGUGUUUCUCAUGAAGAUUCUAACGGAGCUUCAAUUUCGUCAUUCUUCAUUCUUUUUCUUCUCCGGUGGAUUCAAUUCAAACUUCGGUAUUGAGCAUUGUCUUUUCUUUUGUCCAAUGCUUUUCUUAUGCCGGUGCACCUCAUUAUCAUUCCAUUUCUCGCUAUUCAUUUAUUCCGGAGUGCCCAAGAUAUUUCGAAGAUUCAUGUUACCACUCUUCUUUCAUUCAAGCUAUUUCGAGGAUGUUAUAUCAUUCAAGCCUUUUUAUUCGACCGGUGCAUUCUCCUUUUCAACUAAUCGUUCAACGGUGUUUCUUUUGAGUGGGCCCUAACCCACAGGUCUUUUUCCAGGAUCUUACCUGACUCUUCUUAUUUUCCGGAGCUAUCAAAAUUAUUUUCGAAGUUUGACGUAAGAAUGAUUUAUCAUCAGUCAAAUGUUCUCUCCAAGAUCUGUCGAAUUCUUUUCAUCGUCGGCUCAACCUUUUCCAUUAUUCAUUCCGGAGUGCCUCACUAAUUCAUGGUGGUGUUUCUCGUCGUCAUUCUUGGAUUUUGAAGACCAAAGAAGAGUUUCUCUUUAAUCUUGCUCCAUUCUCUUCAAGAUUCGUGAUUCUAUCUUGUUGCCAUCAUCUCAUAAUUGUUCGAUUGUGAGAAUUCUUUUAUCCAUCCGGGGCAAUUCAGGAGCCUUUUCAAUUUGUUCAUCCGGAGUCCAUCAAUUCAGAUUUACUAAUUCUCAGCUUUCACUUAUCAUUCUCCGAUCUUACCGGUGCAGUGUUCAAGUGAUCUCUAAUCGGUCCAUGAUCUAUUAUAUUCACUUGUAUCUAAAUUCUCUCAAGCAUCUUCGUCCAUUUGCAAAUUCUUCCCGGUGUUUCCUUAUCUUUACUUUGUUCAUAAUCAAUUCUUCCGGUGGUUCGUUCAACACCUUCCCAAGUCUGAUGUUAUAUCUCUCUUAAUCUUUUCUACAAGAAUAAGUAAUAUGCCAAAUCCGUUUAUUGUCAUCAAUUUAAAUUGGUGAAGGAUAAGCAUAAUGUAAUUCUUACUCUUGUUUUGUCCAAGUGAUUGAUUCCUUAUUCCGGAGGUGCAUCAUAUCACAUUCUUGGUUCGAGUUGCUUUAUCUUUUCUUUCCCAAGAGUUCCAACCUCUUUCUAUUAUAGUAUCACGGAGAUCUCUAUCUAAAUCAUUGCGAGGCUUCAAUCUUAUUCUUUUCAUCAUUCAAUUAUUUUGGAUCAUUCUUUUAUUACCGGAGUUCUUCAUGAAUGUUCUACAUGAUGGUUCUUCAAGGAUUUAAUUCCUUCUCGAAGUGUUCAUUGAGAUUCUUUUCAAAGGAGCUCAAGCUUUCUUCAUCUUGCUAUCCGGAGUGCAAUUCUUUCUUCCAUGUUAUUGGAGGUGGUAUUAUAUCAUUCUUGAUAAUUUCAGUUCUUGUUUUCAUGAUUUCACAUGUUGUCAAGAUUGGGAUAUUUUAAACCCAUCAAUCUCGUCAUUGGAGCUAUCUUGGGUUAUAUUUCACCUAAAGACUUCCCUAAGGAUUGUUGCUAUCUAUGGUGUUUAUAAAGGACCCAAGUUCUUCUUUUAUCCUCCCGGUGAAAUAAGUUUCUCGUCUCUUUGUUCUUGUCAAUCCAAUUCUUUUCCCGUGAGUGGCAGGUUUUUCAUCUCUUAAUUUGAGAGGUAUUCCAUAAGACCAUAUCAAGCUUAUUAUUUUCGUUGUUGGUUUUCCAACAACUCCGUUCAACCCUUCUCCUAGAGAUGCCUUUUCAGGCUCUUUUGUAGCAGAAGUUGGCAUUGUCUUCUACAUUCGCUUGUCUCAAUUAUCUUUACUCUACUCUUUUGUUCCGGAGGCAUGGUGAUGUUGCUCUCUUCAACCCGUCUUCUUGUUUUAUCAGGAUCGUGUUCUUGUCGUGCCCAUCCUUCUAAUUGGAGUGUUGUGUCCUCUUUCAAGUAUCCUCUCAUCUUGUCAAGUUCAAUUCCUUCCAUUUACAGACGGAGUGCUGUCCAAAUUAUAUCACUCUUAUUCCUUCCCUAUCUUGCUUAACCGGAGUAUUGUGCCCCUUUGUUCAAGUUCUUUUCGCAUUAUCAAGUCUUGCAUCCCUUUCUCAACCAGAGUGUCGUGUUUUCAUUUGAGCUCUCUCAUUUUAUCAAAUUUUGACUCCCUUCUCAACCAGAGUGCUGUCCGAGAUAUUUCUUACCCUUUGUCCCAUCCAUUCAAUAGUUAUGGAGGCAGUGUGUUGUGAUUUCAUCAAGUAUCUUCUCAUCUUAUCAAGACCUUAUUCAAUUCUUUUCUUUUCAACUGGAGUGCUGCCCGAAUUUGGUUUUUCCUUGAUCCCCUUCCUUAACCGGAGUGUUUUCAAUAUAUAUCUUCCCUUCAACCUCAAGGUUUCGCAAUGCUCUUGGUCACUCGUUUCUAACGGAGUGUUUUCGACCUUGUUCACCUUCGUUGUUUUCUUUUCUCGAAUUUGUUUAACCUCUCAAGGUUCUUGGUUUUCACUCGUUUGUCAAAGAAGCAACUUAGCUUUACCUCUUCUUUUUCCCUUCCGUUGUUUCCCCGGUGCCAUUCUAGAUCUCGGGACGAGAUCCUCUCGUAGUGGUGGAGUGUUGUAACGCCCCGAGACCGAUGUGCCAGGUGUCCUCCAGUUAUUCGUUGUCGUUGCCAUGUCAUUCGCUUGCGUGUUGCAUCUCAUCAUGUCAUCAUGUGCAUUGCAUCAUCAUGUUUUCAAAACUUGCAUCCGUCCCGGCCUCCUCGUUCUCUCCGUUGUCCGUUCUGAACCCAGACGCACUUGCACACGCCCGUGGCAUGUCCGAGAUAUUAUUUUUAUAAGUGGCCGAAAAAUCUUCUCGGAAUGGGUUGAAAGUUGUCGUGCGGUGUUGUUUUGUUGUUAGUAGACCACCUGUCAAGUUUCAUCGCAAUCGGAGUUCGUUUGAUGCCCCAACGGAUAAUUAUAGCGGCAAUAGUAGCCGGUCUUUUCGUCGGACGUUUUCGGUCUCCGGAAACAGUCGCCGGGUCUCUCUCUUCUCUUCUCUCAGCUCAAGACCGUCUACUCAGCCCACUACUCCACCACCAGGUCCUACCUAACCUCUCUCGUCAGCCCGCAACCCUCCUCGCGCGCGCGCCCGAAAGCUGUCCCGGACCCGACUCCGGCUGUCGCUACCGUUGUGUCCGGAUCAUCCCCUAACAUCUACAAAACGUCACCGUUUUCUUAUUUGGACCCCGUAACCUAUUUAUCUGAGACCGUCCGAUUUUAAUCAAGGGACCAAAUGCCUCUAUCCAAAAAUCCUUUUGCGAUAUAAAUCAGACCAGACCCUAAAUUUUAGGCCUCAUGUCCCAUCCAUCCCAUCAUUGCGCCGCCAUCCUCUUUGGAUCCCGCAGCGCCUCCCCUGGUCUCCUCCUCGUUAUCCCCAUCGACCCAAUCCCCUUCCUUGGGAUCCAUCCCCUCCCGAUCCACCUACCACAGCCAGUGGCCCCAGCCUACCAUGCCUCCACCUCCCGCAGCGCUCGAUCCGAUCUGGAUCGAGGCAACCGCCUCUGCCCGAGAGCCUUCCUCGACCCGCGCUCCACCACCAUGCCGGCGAGCACCACCACCGAAGCUGCUCUGUUCCUCGCCUGAAACCACAGGUCGUCCUCGUCGCCCCUUUCUUCUCCUUCCCGUGCUCCUCCCUUUCUCCCUCUCUCAUCUCUCUCUGUUCUCCCUUUCUCUGUCGACAGGAGCAUCCCCGCGCCAUGGCCUUGCUGAGCUCUGCCUGCACCAGUGCCUCAAGCCGCCACCGUUCGCUCCAGAUCCGGCCCCUCCGUCAGAUCUCGUCGUCCCAGUUCCAUUCCGGCCGCUUCCCGCCGACCCCGCCGCCAGGAGCUCACGUCAAGCGCCGUUGCCUCCCCUGCCGACUGGAACCCCGCCCGAUCCAAUGGCGCGUAGCACCGCUGCCGCCCGAAGACUCCUCGACCCCGUCGUCGACCAAAUCCGCGUCUGCCCUGCGCCGCCUUGCCUUCCUCACCUUCAUCUCGCCGGAUGGAGCAGCCGCUGCGCCCAUGCCGUCGCCGUUGCUUCGUCUCUGUCGAGCAGAGAAUGAAUAGCGAACGCGCGCUCCUACCUGCGUUGACCGAGGCCGUGCCAGGCCCAGAUCCCGCCAGCGUCCGCCACGCGCAUGGGCCUCUUUGCCUCUCCAAGGCCCAGCGCCUCCCUUCACGGCCUGCAUCUUCCUCCGACUGGGCAAGGCCCAUGGGUGAGAAGCCCUAGCGUAUCAGGAUGAUUUUUUCCCCGUUGUUGGGCAGCAGUUUCGGCCCAUGUAGUUUUUUUUGUAGGCUCUGCAAUUUUCCUAUUUAUUCAGUGACUGCAGUUUUUCAGAAAAACCCUUGCACUUCAUGCAUAUCCUAACUAAUUAACCGUGCAUCGGAUUAAAACAAUUUAUAUAUGAAACUUGCUCAGAAUUUUGUGUAGAUUAAUAAUAUCUAACUUUCAGCCAUGUUUAAAAUGUUUAAAAUACUGUUUGGUUAAAUUUGCUCAAAUUGCCAUGUUAAAAUGAUUUAAUUCAUAGCUAAAUAACCGUAACUCGGAAUUUAAUAAACUUUAUAUGUAAAUGGGGUAGAAUUUUGCCUAGUUUAACAUGGUGGCCUCAUCUUGCAUGUUUAACAACUCUAAAAUAUAGUUUAGGGCAGAACAGGACCUAACCUUAAAUUAUGCAGAUGAGGAUUUUUUUUGGAAUUGUUGUCGUUGUUUCCGGCCUCAUUUAAAUUUGCCUAGAUGGGUAGUUUUGUUGUGCUUCACCUCUUGCCAUGUUAAUCAACAUUUAAUAUUGUUGGGUACAUAAACGAGAGUGAACUAAAUAAUUGAUGUGGUGUUUCGUCAAUAUGCAACUCGUUGCAUAUUGAGCUCCACUUAAUUUGUAGGAUUGUUUAUGCAUUUUGCCAUGCCAUGCCUCUUUAAACCGGACAUGCAUCAUACUUGAUUGUGCAUCAUGCCAUGUUGAUGUGUUGGUUGUUUACUAUGUUGUGUGCUUCUUUUCCGGUGAUCGCUUCUUCGGGUUGGUUCCGGUAACGUCGAGUUUGUGAGGAUCCGUUCAACUUCGUUCGUUUGUCUUCUUCAUGGACUCGUUCUUCUUCCUUGCGGGAUUUCAGGCAAGAUGAUCAUACCCUCGAAAUCACUACUAUCUUUGCUAUGCUAGUUUGCUCGCUCUUUUGCUACGCCAAUGCUACGAUGCCUACCAUUUGCUUGUCAGCCUCCCAAUUGCCAUGUUCAGCCUCUAACCCACCAAUGUCCUAGCAAACCGUUGAUUGGCUAUGUUACCGCUUUGCUCAGCCCCUCUUAUAGCGUUGUUAGUUGCAGGUGAAGAUCGAAGUUUGUUCCUUAUUGGAACAUGGAGAUCGUUCCUUGUUGGAACAUUUAUUUACUUGUUGGGAUAUCACAAUAUAUCUUAUUUAAUUAAUGCAUCUAUAUACUUGGUAAAGGGUGGAAUGCUCGGCCUUAUGCCUGGUGUUUUGUUCCACUGUUGCCGCCCUAGUUUCCGUCAUAUCGGUGUUAUGUUCCCGGAUUUUGCGUCCCUUACGCGGUUGGGCUAUAAUGGGAACCCCUUGACAGUUCGCCUUAAGUAAAGCUUUUCCAGCAAUGCCCAACAUUGGUUUUACCAUUUGCCACCUAGCCUUUUCCCUUGGGAGUCGCGCAUCCCGAGGGUCAUCUUUAUUUUAACCCCCCCGGGCCAGUGCUUGUCUAAGUGUUGGUCCGAACUGAGUAGACUGCGGGGCCACCUCCGGGAAACAUGAGGGCUGGUUUUACUCGUAGGAUGUCUCAUCCGGUGUUGCCCUGAGAACGAGAUAUGUGCAGCUCCCAUCAGGAUGUCGGCGCAUCGGGCGGUGUUGCUGGUUUAGUUUUACCCUGUCGAAAUGUCUUGUUGUACCGGGAUACCGAGUCUGAUCGGAACGUCUCGGGUGGGGGUCUAUUCCUUCGUUGACCGUGAGAGCUUGUCAUGGGCUAAGUUGGGACACCCUGCAGGGAUUUGAACUUUCAAAAGCCGUGCCCGCGGUUGUGGGCAGAUGGGAAUUUGUUAACGUCCGGUUGUAGAAAACGUGAAGUUGACCUUAAUUAAAAUGAAUCAACCGUGUGUGUAACCGUGAUGGUCUCUUUCCGGCGGAGUCCGGGAAGUGAACACGGUUGUUGGAGUUAUGCUUGACGUAGGUAGUCCAGGAUCACUUCUUGAUCAUACUUUUAUCGACCGUGCUUUGCCUUCUCUUCUCGCUCUCAUUUGCGUAUGUUAGCCUCCAUAUAUGCUAGUCGCUUGCUGCAGCUCCACCUCAUAUCUUUACCUUACCCAUAAGCUUAAAUAGUCUUGAUCGCGAGGGUGCGAGAUUGCUGAGUCCCUGUGGCUCACAGAUACUUCCAAAACCAGCUUGCAGGUGCCGAUGAGUCCGUGCAGAUGACGCAACCAAGCUCAGGAGGAGCUCGAUGAAGAUCUUGUCCUUUAUGUUGUUUCGUUCUAGUUGAUCAAUAGUGGAGCCCAGUUGGGGUCGAUCGGAGACCUUUGUCGCAUUUGGGGUUCUUCUUUUAUUUUGGUUCCGUAGUCGGACCAUGAGUGUAUUUGGUUGAUAUAAUGCUUUAUUCAUGUAAUUGUGUGAAGUGGCGAUUGUAAGCCAACUAUGUAUCCUUUCCCUUAUUUAUUACAUGGGUUGUGUGAAGAUUACCUCACUUGCGACAUGUGCCUUCAAUGCGAUUAUGCCUCUAAAUCGUGCCUCGACACGUGGGAGAUAUAGUCGCAUCGAGGGUGUUACAUAGGGCGCGCCCCCACCCUCGUGGAUGGUGGGUGCCCCCCCUCUGGUGCUUUCUUCGCCCAAUAUUUUUUAUAUAUUUCAAAACUGACUUCCGUGGAGUUUCAGGAUUUUUGGAGUUGUGCAGAAUAGGUAUUUAAUGUUUUCUCCUUUUCCAGCCCAGAAUUCCAGCUGCCAGCAUUCUCCCUUUUCGUGUAAACCUUGUAAAAUAAGAGAGAAUAGAUAUAAGUAUUGUGACCAAGGUUGUCAGAAUCGUGAUUUUGAAUCGAAUCGGAGCUCUGAUGGCAGGAUCACAAAUCGUAAAAUCUUCACUAUCAGGAUUGUAGAAACGUAGAUUCCAUGAAUUAAAAUCGUAGAAUCAGAGCGGUAAGUUUGGAUCGUGAAGUCGUAGAAUCGUAUAACAGAAUCGGGAUUCUGACAACCUUGAUUGUGACAUAAUGUGUAAUAACAGCCCAUAAUGCAAUAAAUAUCGAUAUAAAAGCAUGAUGCGAAAUGGACGUAUCAUCGCACAAUUAAGUUUUCCACCACACAAUUAAACUGCUAAUCUAUCUAUGUACUCCCUCCGUCCCAAUAUAUAAGAACGUUUUUUCCACUAUGCUAGUGUUAAAAACGUUCUUAUAUUUUGGGACAAAGUGAGUACAUAUCAGGCCCGCUCACUUUUGUCUUUGUUUCUGGAAGGGGGAUUUGCACUCGCAACCUUUCGAUGUAACCGCUCGGCUCUAGCUAGCAGGCUAUCGACCUGCGACUAUAAAGGUUGUUCAUUUUUUUAUCUUUAUUUAGUUCUUCAGAUUGGUUUAUUCUUUUUUCUUUUUCUCAGCUUUUUUGUGUUUCCUCAUUGCGUGGGUUUUUUAAUUCGUGAACUUUUUCGUUAAAUUUGUGAACUUUUUUUCGAAAAUCAUUGACCUUUUUUAUAAAUCGUUGAACUUUUUUUCAAAUUCUAUGAUCAAAAUUUUCAAAUUCUAUGAACUUUUUCAAAUUUGAUGAAUUUUUUUAAAUUUGAUGAAUUUUUUUCAAAUUUGAUGAUUUUUUUCGAAAUUUGAUGGUCUUUUUUAAUUUGAUGAUUUUUUUAGAAAUUCAAUGAACAACCUUUUCAAAUUAUAUGAACUUUUUCAAAUUUAAUGAAAUUUUUUCAAGUUCAAUGAACUUUUUUCGACUUCAUGAACUUUUUUUUUUCAUUUUUAUGAACUUUUCCUUUUCAUUUCAUGGAUUACAUGAAUGCCUUUUCAACUUUAUGUUUUCUUUAUUCAAAUAAUUUAUAGGGGGUAUGAAGUACUAGUGUAUGUUUAAUUGUACUGUACAAAAGAUUAAGGGGUGUUUGUUUCCGGGGACUUUUUUGUGCAGGGAUUAGAAAAAGUUCCUCUUAGAGACUUUUUUACCAAACGGGAGGGACUUUUCAGAGAUUAAACUAGGCAUUUGGGACUAAAUAAAAAAGACUCUCAGGAAGAGUCUUUUUAGGACUUUUUGGGACUUUUUCAACAAUGCCCCUCCAUGCACCCAUUGGCCCGUCACCCCAUGGUGUUGUUUGACUGUUAUUUUUUAUAUACUAGGAGUAACAUGGUCAUUUAAUAACCUCUAAGAAGGGACUAGGGACUUUUUAGUUUCUGAAACAAACAGGGAGAAACUUUUUAGGGACCAGUGACUUUUUAGUUGAGAUUAGAAAAAGUUUUAGGACUAGAGAACCAAACACCACCUAAAGAGCUGUGUUUCCCUCAAGUAAUUGGUAGACCCGGGUUGGUGCAGUGGUUAAACCUUGUGGGCAUUUACAUGGGUGUGACGAGUUCGAAUCCUGCUUCUUUGGCGCGACAGGCGCUUAAAGCGCUGUAUACGAGGUCUUGUUCUUUUGUCUCCACACGCCCGUGUUCUUUUUUGAGUCUGUGCCCCAUAGUUGUUAUAUGGGCCUGUGUUUGUGUGGAGUGCGAUUCCCUUUUUUGUUUUUUAGUUUUUGCCCGGUGAAUAAUUGGAAGAGCCCAACUCCAUUUUUUAUACUCGUGACGGUGAGCCUUCUCUCACUCCCAUUCCCCACUCUCUUUCCAUUCUCAUUCUCAUUCCCAUUCUCCAUUUUUCUUUUUCUUAAAUUUAUGAAUAUAUUUUAUAAAAUAAACAUUUAUAAAUUCAAGUAAUUUUUUGUAUAAACAAUUUUUAUACUAGUGAUUAUUUUUAUUUUUUAUGUGCUUUUCAUUUUCAUUUUCAUUUUUCUGUUUCAUUAUUUUGUUUAAUUUAUAUUUUUUAUACUCGCUAGGGCUUCUGAUUUGGGCCCGUUUGGGCUUGAACGGGCCACGACGUGCUGCUGCCCUGCAUCUCCUCUAAUCCGUCGAUGACAAGUGGCUUCUGGGCUAGACCCGCAACAUGAGGACGCCGGGGACUCCGGCCCUGGGCACGGCAGUGGUGGCCACCUCCUUCGCCGAAGGUGGUUAAUCGGCUGGUUGUGGCAUCACACGUCCAGUCCCAACGACGAGUGGGGAGGCGAUGUGCCGGUGAAAACAGUGAUAUGACUCCGGUCAUGGCGGGCAAUGGCGGCGUUUUCGCGUCAUUAUUUUAUUGAAGACAUCGCCACUGUAGCUACCGUUGACUUACUUGCACUGCUCCGGGUGAGAUCCUAGACUCGGGUUUCCUGGAUCGGAAGAUGUCGGCACUUUAGGCGCCGUUCUCCCUCAUGGGGGCAUCAUUUUUGGAGCAGCUGCUGGAUGGAGGAGACACGUGGUGGAGCGGUGUUCAUCUACCUCGUCCAUGACAGCGACUCUCGGCGGCAUGGUGAAGUAAGGUCUUGGCGUUGGAUGUGGAUGCAUAGACUCGCACAGGGCGGAAGUGUUGUCUGACGGCGUGGCGACGUCGACGGAAGGCCUGAAAUGGUCGAUGCGUCAGUACCUGCUCUGAAGAUGGAUCAGUGGGACAUGGUGGCGACGGCCUCUGCAGCGUGCGCAUGCGGUGCACGCUGAGAGUGAACCGGACUUGUGUGUGUGACCUGACAGGAUCAUAGGAAGGCCCAUCUCUGUACCUGUCAGAACUCAAAGUAACUAUGAUCUUGCUGUAUCUUCCCAGUGAACUGCCCGUCCAUCAGAGCAUUGCCUCUAUUGCAGAGUUGUGAAGCCUUCGGUGGCGUUGCUGAGGCAAUAGCUAGGGGUUCGUUUGAGACGUCCCCUGAGAGCGGCGUGGUCAUCCAGACUCUUUGUUAACCCUUCACAUUAAUCUCAUGUGUAUAGCUCAACUCUAGACGCUAAAAAAUAUGGUGAACAUAGGUAAGCUCAUGGGACCACUCUUUUGUCGAAUUGAGGAGCUCUUCACUCCCUAUUUUCAAUGUAGAGAAUCGACAAAACAUGGGAUCACCCAUCACUUGAUUUUAUUUAUUUAUUAUCAAUUUGGUACUCCCUUUGUGCUUUUGCAUAUUAACUUCGACUGAAGUAAAACCUUAUAAACUUUGAUCAAGUUUAUAGAAAAAAUUUAUUAACAUAUACAAUGCCGAAUCAAUAACAUCACCAUUGAACAUUUUUUUCGCAUCAUAUAUAUUUGUUAUUUUAAAUGUUCAUAUUAUUUCUUGUAAACUUGGUCAAACUUUAUAAGGUUUGACUUUAGACAAAUCUAAUAUAAGGUGUAAUAUAAAUAAAAAUGGAGGGAGUACAUAUAUAUUUGAGUGUCAAUUGUCAAAACUACACUUAUUUUAAUUUAUGUACCUCACUAUUAUUUCAAGUCCUCAGACAAACAAAAUAUUUCUGAGAGCUCACAAGCUAUUGCUUAUAUGUUUUCCUUCAACUAUUCAAGCUCAAAACUAAUAUACUAGUGAUCUUUCCAUUAAAUCUAAGAUUGAUUAGUCGCCUUGUUUCGCCGGCGGAUCAGCGCCUCCUACCUCCUUUAGUGGCCUCGCCGGUGUCGGAGUGAACUGGAGUAGGGCCUGAUCUACCUGUUAGACUUGUGUACCGUAGGUAGGUUGUAGCUAGGGUUCUACCAUCCGGCGGUUCAUCCUUUUGGCAUGGCAACAGCAUUGGAGUAGUUUGUCUUCCCCUGUUCCAUCUCUAUCUCCGACGACGCUUCUCUUCCCGAUGUUGUUGUUGGUUCAAUGGGGAGGAAUAAAGUUUCCUCCGGCUCUGGUGGUGCUAGUGGUGCCAGAUUUGUUGAUGUUUCUGAGUGGAUUGGUCUACCGAGGGUUGGGGUUGGAGGCGAGGAGCUGUUGGUGUUGGUUGUGCUUUGUGCAGGAGUGGAUCCAGAUUCGUCUUCCUCUUCUCCGUUGGUGAGGGAGAAGAUGAGGUGUUGCCGGUGAUGCUUGCGGUUUGCCACAUCUUUGACGUGCUGGUCCGGAAGGGCCUAAGCUUGAAGACUUCCCGUUCGCAGAAAAUUCAUCCGCAGAUUCCAAGAUCACGUCGGCUCUGGGAGGGAGCGGCGCGCCCUCAAGUCGGGGCGGUUGUUGUGUCUUGGUCGGCUCCAUAGGGACCCGGGUGUAAUUUCAUCCUUUGUUGGGGUUCGUUGUAUCACUAAAAAUCCUUAAUAAAUCUGGGGUCCUUUUUACAAAAAGAUCUUCAAUCGAAUGUUUAAAAAGUAGUCAAAGCUCUCUUGUAUCACCCUCAGAUGUUUUAAAAUUCAAUGUGGAUGGAGCUCAUAUGGGAGUGAUUGCCAGGAACAGCGAGGGCAAGGUGAUUGCUGCCAGAGUGGGGCGUGUUGAGCAUGCCAUUCAUGCCUUCGGUACAUAACUGAGAGCAGUGGAGAAGGCCAUCAACGUGGCGGCUGAGCUUGUUGUGGUUUGACCGGUGAUUGAAACUUAUGCCUUGCUGGUCGAGCAAGGCCUUAAUAGGCGUACCCCAGAUUUCUCAAGAGAAGCCUAGGUGAUUGAAGACGUCAAGGUCCAGGCCAGGCUUUGGUUUACCUCGUGUGAAUUGGCCUACCAUAAGCGUUGAUGGAGGGCUACUUUUCUUCAGUGGCAAGUGCUUUUUUUUUUGCGGAAAAUCUUCCGAUCUAUUCAUCUUCAAAUCAUGGCAGUACAACGAAUACAAAAAAUAAUAAAAAUUAUAUCCAGAUCCGUAGACCACCUAACGACGACUACAAGCACUAAAGCGAGUCGAAGGCGCGCCGUCGUAAUUGCCCCUCCAUCGUCAGAGUCGGACACAACUUAUUGUAGUAGACAGUCGGAAAGUCGUCGUGCUAAGGCCUCAUAGGACCAGCGCACCAGAACAGCAAUUGCCGCAGAUGAAGACUAACAUAAAUCGGAAGGAUUCAAUCCGAAGACAUACGAACGUAGACAAACACCAACGAGAUCCGAGCAAAUCCACCAAAGAUAGAUCCACCGGAGACACACCUCCACACGCCCACCAACGAUGCUAGACGCAUCACUGGAACAGGGGCUAGACGGGGAGACCUUUAUUCCAUCUUCGACGAUUGCUACUUUAUGUCUUUAGAUUUUAAUCAUGUCAUCUAUGAUCAUUGUAAUAAAGAGAACAAUAUGGUGGCUCAUGAGUUGGCUAGAAUAGCUAGAUUCUCCCCUCCUAGUGUUUGGUUGGAAUCGCCUCCUGUUAAUAUGAUACCUUUUGAUUGUAAACGACACAACCCUAGUGACAAUUGAAUAAAGGAGGAUGAUUUUAUAUAAAAAAAGGUUUAUCUCUCCCUAGUUGAGUAUGAUUGAAUAUAUCAAUUUCAAGGUAUGAGAUUGCUAACCGGUCCUGUCGCCCGGUCUCUCCCUAGUUGAGUAGUUCUUGUUUUAGACGAUAAAAUGUUCAUGCUUGUGUAGCUGAAUUUAUUUUGAGCGAUUUAGCCCAGACUUUCGUAAUAAAGGGUGAUGCUUGCCCCUCCCCAAAAAAUUCAAUCUCCCGAUAUAUUUCGGCUACCCGUCGUUGGACCCCCGUUUGGUGUCCCGAGUCCUCGUCCUCCCCUCCGUGCUGGACCAAAACUAGGGUUUCCGAGCUACCUUCCCAUCCUCCGGCGGCCCGAUGGCCGGUGGCGCGACGGACAAGUGCCAGAGCAGCGCGGGUCCUCGCCCUAAUCAGCCAAUCCUUGAGUCCCGUCAGAGUCAGGAGGUGGCCACGCCAUCUUUGCCGAUCCGGGAUGAACUCCUGGAGGAUAUUUUCCUCCGGCUGCCUACGCCAGCCGAUCUCGUCUGUGCCUCCGCCACCUGCGUCUCCUUCGGACGCGUCAUUGCCAACUGCUCCUUCGUCCGGCGCUUCCGCAAGCUCCAUGCCCCGCCUCUCCUCGGCUUCCUCGACAGAUGCAUGGUCUUUCGUCCCGUUGUAGCGCCGCACCGCCACGCGCUAGGGUUGGAUAAUAUGCCCCUCUUUACUUUCGAUUGGAUGAUUUACCCUGCUUUUCUUUUUCCAGUGGAUAAUAUGCCCUUUUUAAUUACUGUAAUCAUUUUUCAGUUUUUAUCCCAAUUAUCACCAUGCGAAAUGACUCGACCGCCCUUGUGGCAAAUUGCAAUUAUGUCCUAGUCUCCUUCCCCGUGUCGGACUGUUGGUCUUUGCUUCCACUGAACAGUCCAUCUCCCCAGUUCAUCCCCUUUCUUCCGUUCCUCUCUCUCCCCACUGUACAUGUACUGAAGUGAGAUCCUGGAGGAGGCCGACGAGGACACCUUGGACCCCAUCUUGGCGGCGGCUACCGCUGCAGCUCGGCGGCGGGGGGCAGCCGUUAAACUCGGAGACGCGGGCUGCCUCCUGCAGGUCGCAGGUGCUGCAGCUCCUCUGCAUCUCGGCGGCCCUGUAGCUCCGCUGCAGCUUGGAGCUGCGGAAUAGGCGGAUGGCGCCGUCGUUGCAGCUGCCACUACCUGCCGUAGGUGGCGUCUGGUCCGCUGCGCCGGCACUCAGCAAGGGAGGCUCCAGCAAGACCACAUCGGCAGCCGUUGUCGCUCAGGUAAAAAAUCCAUCGGUGCUUGAUGCAUCUGUACAAAUGUUUGUGUGAGCUUGUUGCUACUACGCUACUAAUAGCAAGCCUGAAUGACAUUGUUGGUAGUAAUUAGCAGCUGGGCAUGCUCCAAUUGUCGGGCUGGGUACGCUGAAGUGCAUUUUCUAAUUAAACCACAGGUCAGGCAUCUAUAUAUGAUGCUAUGCAUCCUUACAUAUGCACUUUGGUAGAACUUGGCAGCAUAUAACAACUUCAUAGAUAAAAAAAUUAAACUGACAACAAGUAUCCACUUAGUACAUGGAAUUCAAUGUCAUAAAAAGGACUGCUCGGUUCAAAUGGCAUAACAGUUUAAUCUGAGUUUACAUCAAGCAAAUUAACAAUAAUUCUGAGUUCGUAUCUCAGAAAUUACAUCUUCUUCCCGGCAAAAUUUUUUUACAUCUUCUUCCUCCUUGGGGUCAUUUUUUUCUUGCAUGCCGUAGAGCUUGAAGGGAUGUAAGAAGUAGGUGAUGGUACAGAAACAUUCGUUGUUCCAGAUGGUUGUGAUGCAUCGCCUUCGGCUAUGGCCAUAGCAAGUCUCCUGCAUGUUUACACAUCAGUUACGAAAGCAGGAUUUCUUUUGCAUGAAUCAAAUGUGCAUAUGGAAAAUAUAAACAGUUACCUCCUUGUAAUAGGCCCAGGGCUGUUAUGAAGGCUGGGAGGCACUGUGAUUGUUGUUGUGCGUGUGGGUGUCGCAACAACAGCUGGAGCGAGCUCGUGAGCAGACACGUCGCUAGAAAGUUCAAUCACACAUGACAUUAGAAAUGGUAUACUAAUACUAAUUUCAUACUAAUGUAGAUGAUAUAUAGUAGUAGUAGUAGUACUAGUACAUGGGUUACCUUUUAUUUAGCUUCCUUCUUUUUACAAGUUGCUUUUCUGUGCCCCAAGAUUCCACAUUGUUUGCACCUGUUUUUGGUGCCAAAUCUCUUCUUUUCUUUUUCCUUCUGUUUGGCACCACCUUCUUGCUCAUUUCGUUUGCCAUCAUCAUCUUUUUUCUUCCGUUUGCCACCACCACCGUCUUCAAGGAAACUUUUGAUGCUCUGCUUCCUCCUUCUCCCAACAGAGCUUUUUAAAUCUGGUGGUAUCAUCUCAAAAUCUAGAGUAACUUGAGGCCAUUGAGACUUGUCUGUGAUUGGUUCAAUCUCUCCUGCAUAGGCAGCCCGGAACCUACUCACAGAGUAGUAGUCAUGCACAUAUGGUUGAAAGUUCACAUCUGCUCUCUCUAUAAGAAAUGCAAGUGCAUGCUCACAGGGCUUUUCAAUGUGCUUCCAUUCUAGGCAAGUGCACUCAUAGGUACGUAUUUUGACAACGUGGCUAAGAUUCUUCUUGCUGGUGUCCUUGACCUCACAACUUUCUUCGGUUGAUCUUCCAACAACCAAAUGGUCAAGUUGUCUAGUUCUAUUAUUUAUUUGUUGAAUGAUGGCAGGCAGCGUCUCUCCCUGGAGCAUUUCCCCAAUCCUUCUCCUCCUCUCAACAAGUAUCAUAAUUUUCUCUCUUAUUUUGUCUGCUAGCUCAUCCAUGGGCAGAUCCUUUGUUCCUUUGAUCCAGCUAUUGAAGCACUCAGCUAGAUUAUUGUGAAUGUAAUCACAUUUUAUUUCUGUGUUGAAGUCGCAUCUCAUCCACUUCAAAUUAUGAUAAGUACACAAGUAGGUACUCACUGUAGGUUCAGCUUCGAAAAUCUUGCCCAUAUGGUAGUUAAAUUUUUCUAGACGGUAAGCCUUGGCUGCUGGCCACAUGCGACCAAAAACAUCUCCAUGAAACUUCUUUUGAAGUUUGCCAUUAGAUGCCUAAAGCAUUCCCUUUGCUCAGCUUGAGGAAAAACAAUUUUAACCGCACUCUCUAACUCUUUGCAUGCAUCAGUACAAAUAGCUAGAGUUUGAAGAUGUCCUAUUGCCUUAUGUAGUUGUUGCAUAAACCAAACCCAGUUCUCCUCAGUCUCCGUACCAAAGAAACCAAAUGCUAAAGGAAACAUCCAGUUUUGUCCGUCUAGUGUUGUACAUGCCACCAAUUGACCAUUCCACUUUCCAGUCAAAUGUGUGGAGUCUAUACUGAGAUAUGGUCUACAACCAGCUAAAAGCCAUCAAUGCUUGGCUUAAGUGCCAUAAAAAAUCUCCGGAAAUACACUCCACCUUUUCCCCUCUUGACAUCAACCUCAACAAUGCUACCCGGAGAUCUCUUAUCAAUCUCAGCUUUGAAGUUGAAUAAAUUCUGAAAGCUUUUUCCCCAUGUUCCAUAUAACAUUUUUGCGGCCCUUUCUUUUCCCUUUUGAACAAUAUCAUACCCAAUAGUACAUUUGUACUCUGCUUGUAGCUUUUUUAGGAGCUCCAUGCCACCAAUUUUUGGUUCACUUUGAAGAUACCCAAUUGCCUUUUCUGCCACCCAUGCUUGGUCUGCCAUGCUUGUAAUCACUUUGGCGGUUGAUGAACACUUAUGAGGCUUUACUAUCUUGUUAACCUGCACAAUAGCAACCAUUAGGUGCAAGUAAUUUUUAAAAAUUGUUUCAACAUAAAAAAUGAUUAGUGUUAGAUAAGUUUGUACCCUGACUGUUUUUCCAUCUUCUAUCGUUCUAGCAAUUAUAUACGCCAAGGACAUACAUUUCCUUUACAGUGACCCACAUAUCUAGUAGUGUCACUAUCCUUGGUCUUAAUGUCAAACUUACCUCUAAUAGCAAAUAUUCUCAUAAGCAUCCUAAACUCUUUCAUCGAACGAAACAAAGAACCUUCCUCUAUCACAGGAUGUUCCUUAUCAUACCAAAAGUGAUCAUCUUCAGGCAUAUGGUCAGGCACUGGAAGAGCCGCAUCAGCAAGUAAGUCCUCAUUAAUAUCAGCUACACAUGCAUCAACAUUUGCAAUCGAGGCUUUGAUGGCUGCUUCAGAUACACAUUUUCGUUGCACAGGUCCAUCGUUGAUUCCAAGCACCGAGCACAUAUUCUCUUCUGUUAUAGGAACAUCAAUUUCGUCAUCAUUCAUUGGUGCUAUCUCUAUCUGAGACCAGUCAAUGCCUCCUUCUGUUGUUGAUACAUAUGUAUCAUUGCUAGCAACCGUCGUUCGCCUACUUGGAGAAGAAAUAAGCAUUUUAACACAAGGACAUCAUACAAUUACUUACAAAAUAUUACAUCAAAAAAUAAAAACUAUGCUAGAUCUGAAGUAUUUUUUCAGGCUUCAUCUGAGUUUACUGUACUUUCUAUGCAGGUUCAUCAACGCCAUAUGGGAGGGAGGGUCUGAGGCGGAAGGGAGGACCAAAUGCUUACCAAUCUGGAGCCUCUUGUGGCGAUCCAUGGAUACAGGAGUUGCCUCGUCUGGCACUAUGUGGAAUCACCUUGCCGGCUGCUGGUGUGAACCCUCGCUGCCCAGGGGUCGCCGGAGUUGAUGGCUUGGUGGCCGUUGUGGCCGCCGGAGUUGACGGCUUGGUGGCCGGCUGUCCCGGGGGCGCCGGAGUUGACGGCUUGGUGUCCGGCUGUCCAGGGGCCGCCGGAGUUGACGGCUUGGUGGCCGGCGGUGCAUCCGCCUGUCCGCUGGGCAUGAACAUGAUGAUGCAACGUAAUAGAAUCAAUCUACGAUUUCUUGAUCAGUUGGUUCUGUUGUGUAUACCAACGUAAAGAGGGAAGGAGACUAGGAAAUAAUUGCAAUUUGCCACAAGGGCAGUCGGGUCAUUUCGCAUGGUGAUAAUUGGGAUAAAAACUGAGAAAUGAUUACAAUAAUUAAAAAGGGCAUAUUAUCUACUGGAAAAGGAAAAGCAGGGCAAAUCAUCCAACCGAAAAUAAAGAGGGGCAAAUUAUCAACUACCCAAGUAAAGAGCGGCAUAUUAUCCAAUCUCCCCGCGCGGUAGGCGCCGGCGCCUUCGACUUCUCUUUCCUCCCGGCCCCCAUUGGCUGCUGGAUCGUCCGCGACGGCUGCAUCCUUCUCGACAGUCACCUCGAAGAACACAUGGUCUUACCGAAAAAGCUUACGCCCCGCUUUAUAGAUAAAGCAACCGCCAAAGCCAAACAUCCAACAAGAUUCAACAACACAAACACACACAGAUGUCUAGCACACACACAAAGUCAAAUAGGGUUAAUGCUGAGGGCACAGCUCAACAAGCCUUGAAAAAGACAAAAAGCACGCACACGCAAGAACACACGGUCUUCAAGGACAUGGUGGUCUGCGACCCCUUGCACCGGUGAUACCUCCUGCUUCCGGCAAUUCCGGACGAGCUAAGAGCUUGGGUGGAGGAUCCGUACCCAAUAGCAAUGGGGCGAUGGUGCGAUAACUUCCUUGUCCCUCCCAGCGACCAGGACGAGGAGACAGCAGCUACAAAGGGGAUGUCAUUCAGAGUGAUCUUCAUGGCCCAGUGCAAAUUUAAGUUGUUCACGUUUGUCUUCUCUUCCAGCACCGGGCAAUGGCGAGCUGUUCCACCACAAAGUUUGAGUGAAUUGUUUCCUGACUUGUUAGGGCCGGAGCAAGUCUUGGACUCAUGCCAUUACGCGUAUGGAUGCAUUUACUGGAUGAAAUGACUGAACGGAGAAAUAAAAAUGUUGGUUCUUGACACCCGAAGGAUGGACUUCUGCAUUGUUAAACCCCCACCAGAAGCAAGAUAUGCUCAAGAUAUAACCAUGGUGGAGGCAGGGGAAGGCAGGUCUGGGAUGUUUGUGCUUGCACGGGGUCGUAGUCUCGUAGAUAUGAUUAUGACCUCAGUUAUUAUAGCAGUAGGCGAAACAAUGCUGGGAGUUUCAGCCAGUGGCAGUGCGAGAAGACAAUUUCACUAGGUUCUUGGUGCUUCUUGAUAGGUUCAAUGAAGAGGUACUUGCUCCUGUAUCAGGGCAAAAGCUCAUCGUCUGAACCAGGUUGUUACACACUGGAUAUCCAAACAUUUCAACUUGAGAAUGUGUGCCAUGUUACACAUCGGCAUGGUUUCCUUAAGUUGUAUGCAUAUAUCAACUUCCCACCAUCAUUGUUUUCAUUACCGACAAUAUCAAGUGGUAAACUUUCUGCCGCGUCCUUGUUAUCUCUUUUUAAUCACACAGCUUGUCUGAUGCUUGAUAAUUUAUUAUUGUGAUCGACAAUCCUUCGUUACACGACUUAAUUAUGUUACUUAGUCUGUGCUUAUGGGUACGCUAACAAAACUCAGGAGCAUAUCUGCCAUCUUCUUGUUUAAUCUAUUUGCCAUUUUAAGGUUACUAGAUAAUUAAAAGAAAAUAUCUUGCCCACUGUAAGUAGCAUUCUGGAGGCCUCAUGGCGGCAAUUAUCUUGGACAAAUGGUUUGUACGAUCAAGAUAUAGAGAAGGAAUACAGCCCUACAUUCAAGUCACCUUUGGAUUGUUUCACCUAGGAAACAUUUACUCCAGUCAAGCAUGCCUUAUCUUGUCUGAUUUUAUAUGGAUAUAUAUAAGGAUGCAGAAAGGCACUUUUUUGUCGCCUUUAUGUGCAUAAUUUUCUCUCAUUAUGAUGUUGAUUUGACAUAAAUCUGCAUGACUGGUAUGGUUGCAAAUAGAGUGAAUUGCAGAAAACCACCACAUUUCAGCUUAGGUUUGCAGGAAACACUUUUCUACGUUUUUGCUGCAAAAAACACACAUUUUUUUCUAAUCUUUUGCAGAAAGCACCAAACCUCCUGUUCGGGCAGUUUAAGCACUAUUAUGACAGGUGGGACCCUGUCUUGUCGACGUGGCUCACGGCCGCGAGCUGAUGCCGUCUAACGGCGCUAUAGUGCCGACCGACGCCCCCACUAGGUCAAGAGACCAGAUCGAAUCGACACCUCUCCCGCAUCUGAAAUUUUCCCCACCAUCCCCGCGACGGCGCGCUCUCCUCUAUCUCUGUCUCAUUUAUGGCAACGGCGAGCCCGGACGCCGGCGGCAGAGUGGAUGGCGGAGGUGGCGACGACACAGGAGGGUUGUUUGGCGGCGGAGAUCCAAAGCCACCCGAGGAGGUCUGCGGUAGCUCUAACCCUAGCCAGGCCCCGCGGAGCAGACCACCGCCCCCGUCGCUGGAGUACCGUGCCGCCGGCGCUCUGGCCCGUGCUGUGUAGGCUACUCCGACGGGGAGCCACCACUGGGCAUCUGCAUUCGGCGGUGUGGAGUAAGAUAUCUCCUCUGCCUCCCCCACCCCCUCAUUUUAUGUCGAUUCCAUAGUUAGGGUUAGGGUUAGGUGUGUAAACACAGCAUUAGAUUGUAGUGAUAUUAGUAUGCUCUGUUUAGGAGAGAAUAUAGUGGUACUUUUUGUGAUUUUAAUUGCUAUUUGGGUUAGGAUGCUCUGUUUAGAUUGUAGUGGCAAGCAGCACAGCCUUGGGUUAGGUGUGUAAAUCAAAAAUGGAUCUUUUGCCUAGUACUAAGUGUUCAUCUGCUCUCUAAAUUAGAUUGUAGUGAUAUUGGUAUGCUCUGUUUAGGAGAGAAUAUAGUGAUAAUUUUUGUGAUUUUAAUUGCUAUUUGGGUUAGGAUGCACUAUUUAUUUAGUAGACAUUAAGGUCACAGUUAGCUCUUAUUGAAAUUGGUAUGCAUAGUAUAUUUUAAAUUGGUCACUUGUAUUGUUUGUAGUUAGUGUUAUACUGUUUAAUUAAUAAGUACAAGAAUUGUUCCUUUUUGUAGCUUGUUUGAUGAUGUUUGGGAGGUUAGACUACACUUUCAUGACAUGGAUAACUUGGAAAGGACUAUGUGUGUUUCAGACAUCACUUUUUUCAAUCUGUUAGCACUCAUAGAGACAACAGGAUAUGGAAGUAAAGACUAUAUGUAUUAUGUGAGGGAUGCUGGGUUGGGAGUAGCUGGUUUGGAGGAGAUAUGUGAUGAUGACAAGGUGGAUGAGAUGAUGGAUGACAUUGCCAAUAAAGAUCAGAACAUAGUAAACCUGACAAUAGUUAGGGGUAGUGAGCCCAGACCUGCAGAUAUAGACAGAGGUUAUAUUUGUGAUCAGCAAGUUCCUAUAGGUAAUGUUGGAGAGAGCACUGUAUAUGAGGUGAAUGAUGUUGGGGUGUUGUACAAGUCACCAUCCAAAGUAUCAAAAAGAGAUGCAGUAGUUGAGGAGCCUGAACCAAUCCAGUUUUUCUCCACACAGCAGAGCCACAAUGUUGAUAUGGAGCAAGGCAAUGAAGCAGAUGUUGAUAUUGAGCAAGGCAAUGGAGAUGAUGUUGACAUGGAGCAACAUGAGUUAGAAAGAAGUAUAGAGCUUAGAAAGAGAUCAAAAAUUCAGAGAUUUAAGCAGCAUCAGAAGAAUGUUGAGAGGGUGCAGGCAAUGAAAAGAAAACUUCCUGUGCUACUAACUGAAGAUGACUCUGACUUGGAGGAAGAUGAGGAUUUCAUGGCUAGGAUGGCUGAGCUAAAGAGGCAGAGAGAGGACCCACUCUUACAUUUUGAAGGUGACACAGAUGUAGAUGAACUUUAUGAGAUACAAGAGGAAGUGCAUGAGGAAAAUGCAAAGCAAGAGGAGCAUGGAGAUCAUGAGGAACUUGAAAAGGAGGUGCUACCACAGGGGCAAAAGAGGAAGAAGUUGAAAGUAAGAAAGGGGCCAACCACAAGAUCACAUGCUAGUUUGGAGCAACAGUUUGAGGAUGAUUGGGUACCAUCAUCUGAUGAGGAUCCAGAUCCUGGUGAUUUGAAGGAGGAUCAAGAUGAUGGGGCUGUACCCCUAGCAUUUGUGCUAGGCAGUAAGGGCGUGUUCGGCAGCCCACUAGCUUCUCAAAUCCUUGCCUCCGAGCCCGGAGCACACCCGAACGGGUCAACUCCUGGUUAUUCCAGAAAGAAGCGGGCAAACGGCGCAGUGCAAAUUCGCAGGAUCGGUGGAGUUGGAAAAAUCGAGCUCCACAAAAACGAGGAAGCUGGAGUUGAAGAGAAUUACGUUGCCCUGCCACCGCCAAGUGACUCGCUCGACCAAAGCAUUACGUACCGAUUCGCUCCAGGUCGUCUCUCUUGCCACGGGCAGUCCCUCCCCUACCAGGCCUAUGGCCCAGCCCAUCGUUUCCAAACCUUAGCCUGCUCCUGAUGGGCCACAAAGGGGUGAUUUGAUGGGCUUCAGGCUCGCUACCUCGUCCGAGCGAGAAGUCGUGACGCCGAACGGAUCGCUCGAUCCGGGAUCGGUUGCCAGAAGCUGGCGCUGGAUUUGUGGCGUCGGAGUUGAAGAUUUUCUGGCCAUGGGGGGCUUCCGAACACGCCCUAAGUCUAGGGCUAAAAAACCCAAACCAAGGGUAUGGUAUCAUGAGGAUAGAGAGAGCCCAGAGCUGCAGUUUGCUAAGAAGUUAUGCUUUGAUAAUGUGUACCAAUUUAGAAGGGCACUUCUCACUUUCCACAUAGCACAGAACAGAAACUAUCAGUUUCAUAGGAACUGCAAUGACAGAAUUAUAGCUGUGUGCACACAUGAAGACUGCCGUUUCUUCAUUGCAGCUUCUGUGGUGGGAAAAGAGAAAACUUUCUGCAUUAGGAAAACUAAUUUGUUGCACACAUGUCUAGCUAUAGCAGAGAGCACCAAGGUGACUACAAAGUGGGUUACACAUGAAGUUUUAGAAGCAAUAAGAACAGACUUGAACACACCAAUAAGUACAAUAAUGCAAAAUCUGAAGAGCAAGUAUGGAGUUGAGAUCAACACUCAUAUGGCCUACAGGGCUAAGAACAAUGCUAUUAAGGUGGUGCAAGGAGAUCAGAGGGGGCAUGAGGGAGUCCUGGAUUAGGGGGUGUUCGGAUAGCCGGACUAGACCUUCAGCCGGACUCGUGGACUAUGAAGAUACAAGAUUGAAGACUUCGUCCCGUGUCCGGAAGGGACUUUCCUUGGCGUGGAAGGCAAGCUUGGCGAUACGGAUAUGUAGAUCUCCUACCAUUGUAACCGACUUUGUGUAACCCUAACCCUCUCCGGUGUCUAUAUAAACCGGAGGGUUUUAGUCCGUAGGACAACAUACAGAACAACAAUCAUACCAUAGGUUAGCUUCUAGGGUUUAGCCUCUCCGAUCUCGUGGUAGAUCUACUCUUGUACUACCCAUAUCAUCAAUAUUAAUCAAGCAGGACGUAGGGUUUUACCUCCAUCAAGAGGGCCCGAACCUGGGUAAAACUUUGUGUCCCUUGCCUCCUGUUACCAUCCGGCCUAGAUGCACAGUUCGGGACCCCCUACCCGAGAUUCGCCGGUUUUGACACCGACAUUGGUGCUUUCAUUGAGACUUCCUCUGUGUCAUCGCCAUCAGGAAGGAUGCCUCGCCCCGUCUUUAAAGACAUCACCAUUGCUAUGGGAGCUUUGGCUUUCGGCCAAACCCUCCGGCUAGGUGGCUUUCUUAUGACCGCCUGUUCGGCUUCUGCGCCGACGAUGACCUCUCGAGCCAUCGAAAACAAUCUUCAUGUCAUCUCGGAACUCGCUGAGCAGUUAGAUCCAAUGGAGCUCUCCUCCAUAAACGAGCUCUUGGAUCGCAUCGCUGCCCUGGGAGUCGCUACGGAUUACGACCAGAUUGGGCCUAAACCCGACCUGAGAGAGAUUAACUCUCCCCAAGUCACCCAUCACGUUGCUGUGGUAGAGGGACAGUGCGGCGACCCUUCAUCUAUCCUAAGGACUAGCUACGUCCGGAUUCCCGAUCCCUCCAAGCCAGAUACCCGCGGAGGGGAGGAUAUCACUCAAGACCUGAACUUAGAGUCAGGCGAUGGGCUGGAUUCAUCGGACAACAUCCAGGAAUCCAAAUUUUCGAGUUCGGAAAUUCCUCGGCCUCUGAGCCUCAGAUUGGGUGAGGCUUCGGAUUUAAUUCCACCCACCCACCCGAACAUAAGCGAUCUAUCCCAAAUCAGGCAAGAGCCCGAAGAAACAGUACAUCAUUACUGGGCCAGAUUCCUCCUGGUUAGGAACAUGAUAAGGGACUGCCGCGAGGAAGACCCAAUAUCAAUCUUCUGCAGUAAUUGCACGGACAAGGGAAUCCUCAAUGCCAUAAGUCGCCGUGAUAUUACACGCUUCGCUGACUUGGCGUCCAUUGUAUGAAAGUACUGUGCGAUGGAAAGCACCUGGAAAACCGAAAUAAAAUUUUGGGAUGAUCCGGCCCUGAAUACAAACCUAGUCCGAAAUAAAAGGGUGCAUCAUCGCCAGACACCCGGGUCAAACACCAAAAAGCAAAAACCCUCUACAGGGCAUGGAACCGUACUAGAAGGAUGGCUCAAUGGACCCUGUAAAAUUCACAGUACAGAGGACGCCACACCAACUCACAGCCUUAGAGCAUGUUGGAUACUCCGGCAGGUGGCCAAAAAUGGCGAAGAUCUCCUAAUUCCGGAGGCCACAGAAAGCCAUCCCAGAGACACCAGUACGGUAUUAACAGUCUUCGAGACUUUCGCAUCAAAUAAUAUGCGAAAAAGGACACUCCGCAGCCUUGCCGAAGUCUACCAAGUAGCAACAAUAAACCCAUGGAGUGACAUAGCUAUUACCUUUAACGCCAGUGAUGAACCUAAAUUCCGAAUAGCCCGAGCACCAGCCGCAUUGGUCCUCAGUCCAAUAGUGGACGGCUUUCGUCUUACCAAGGCACUCAUGGACGGCGGCAGCGGAUUGAACCUCAUUUAUGAGGAAACCCUUCAAAAAAUGGAAAUAGACUGGAACCGCAUUGAGCGAAGCAGCACAACCUUUAGAGGAAUAAUCCCCAGUCGGGAAGCGCGCUGUAUAGGAAAAAUCACACUAGAUGUGGUGUUCGGCACGCCGGAUAAUUACAGGUCCGAAGAGGUCACGUUCCAUGUGGCUCCGUUCAGCAGCGGUUAUCACGCUCUGCUAGGGCGGGAAGCGUUUACAAUCUUCCAAGCAAUACACCAUUACGGGUACAUGAAGCUCAAGAUGCCCGGGCCUAACGGGAUCAUCACUCUCGCUAGUGAUCCGGACAUAGCACUCCGCGCCGAAAACAAGACAGCCGCACUGGCCCUCGAGGCACUAUCCGAAGCACUACCGGCUGAGGAACUGACUGCGCUGCGCUCCACGGUGAAUAGGGACGAUGUGGUACUCGACAAAAUAUCCAAGUCCACCUCCUUUAAACCGGCGGAUGAAAUAGUCAAAUUCCAGGUCCAUCCAACGGACCCCAAUAAAACAGCUUCCAUCGGGGCACAGUUAAACCCCGAUGUAGACGCCGCACUGCGAGAGUUACUACGAGAGAACUGGGACAUUUUCGCCUGGCACCCUUCAGACAUGCCAGGAAUCCCAUGCAGGCUGGCCGAGCACAGCUUAAAUAUCCUAAAAGGAUUCAAACCUGUCAAACAAGCUCUUCGGCGUUUUUCCGAACCUAAGAGACAGGCCAUGGGAGAAGAGCUAGCAAAGCUAUUGGAGGCUAGAUUCAUCAGAGAUAUAAAACAUCCGGACUGGCUACCAAACCUGGUGAUGGUACCAAAGAAGGACAAAUCCUGGCGCCUGUGCAUUGAUUUUAAAGAGCUUAACAAGGCUUGCCCAAAGGAUCCCUUCCCCCUCCCCCGCAUCGAUCAAAUUAUUGACGCUACCGGAGGACACGAUUCGUUGUGUUUCCUCGACGCAUAUUCCGGCUACCAUCAAAUCAAGAUGGCAGAAUCAGACCAAGCUGCAACGGCACUUAUCACACCAUACGACCCAUUCUGCUUCAACACAAUGCCCUUCGGGCUCAAAAACUCCGGCGCAACAUAUCAGCGCAUGAUUCAGACAUGUCUGGCAAACCAGAUCGGCAAACAGUGGAGGCAUAUGUAGAUGAUGUGGUCGUCAAAACAAGACAUGUUGAAUCUCUAGUAGACGACUUGAGGCUCACAUUUGAUAACCUCCGAACAUACGACAUCAAGCUCAACCCGGAAAAAUGCGUUUUCGGCAUUCCCGUCGGAAAGCUCUUGGGCUUCAUUGUAUCCGGUCGAGGAAUUGAAGCAAAUCCAGCCAAGAUCCGAGCUCUGUCACAAUUGGAUAUCCCAAAGGACCUCAAAAAUGUACAAAAGUUAACCGGAUGCGUAGCGGCUCUAAGCCGCUUUAUCUCCCGCUUGGGAGAAAAGGCCCUACCCCUUUUACCGUCUCCUUCGGCGCACCGAACACUUUGAAUGGACGGAUGCAGCCACGGCCGGACUCGACGAAAUAAAAGCCAUAUUGGCAACAAACCCAAUCCUGGCCGCGCCAAACAUUGGCGAACCAAUGCUAUUGUACAUUGCAGCAACACAUCAGGUUGUAAGCGCAGUGCUCGUCGUCGAACGAGAAACGGACGGACACAAAUCCCCCCUUCAAAAGCUGGUCUAUUAUGUGUCCACUGUCCUCACUCCGUGCAAAUCACGGUACCCGCAUUAUCAAAAGAUUGCGUACGCGGUAUUCAUGGCAUCCCGGAAGCUACGACACUACUUUCAAGAGUGUUCAAUAACAGUAGCCUCGGAAGUACCACUUAACGAUAUUAUAAACAACCGUGACACAACGGGUCGGAUUGCAAAAUGGGCCAUUGAGCUCCUCCCGUUCGACAUAACUUAUAAGCCACGGCGAGCCAUCAAGUCGCAAGUUUUGGCCGACUUUGUCGCAGAAUGGACGGAGGCCGAACUCCCUAAAGAGUACGGCAGAUAUUCAAAUUGGAUCAUGCAUUUCGACGGCUCCAAGAUGUUGGCCGAACUAGGGGCUGGCGUCGUUUUGACGUCCCCCACAGGAGAUACAGUUCAAUACGUACUCCAUAUUAUGUACACAGACUCCAACAAUGCAGCCGAAUAUGAGGCCCUUUUACAUGGUCUCCGGAUGGCAGUAUCCAUGGGCAUUCAACGCCUAGAGGUGCGCGGGGACUCGAACCUCGCAAUAUCCCAAAUAAAUGGAGACUUUGAUGCCAAGGAUCCAAAAAUGGCAGCCUACCGCAACGCCGUCCUAAAAAUGUCAGCUCGGUUCGAAGGGCUUGAAUUUCACCAUAUAGCCCGAGAAAAUAAUCAGGCGGCAGAUGUCCUGGCACACAUCGGCGCAAAACGCGAUGUAGUCCCCCCCAACAUCUUCUUGGAAAGGCUGUUCAAGCCAUCCGUAGUAUGGGAAGGGGAGCCGAACAAUAACAGCCCGGAUCCAACCGCACUGCCCGACACCGAACAUUCUGACACAAUCGGAGGCUCUGCCAAUGAAAUAACACUUUCAGCCCACCGAAUAAUGGCCGUCAUCGCCCCGUGGACAGAACCAUUCCUCGCCUACCUUACUAGGCAGGAACUCCCCGAGGACCAAAAUGAGGCACGCUGCAUAGUGCGACGAUCCAAAGCCUACAAAGUCCACAAGGGAGAGCUUUAUAAGAAAAGCACUACCGGAGUCCUUCAAAGGUGCAUCUCCGAAGAGGAAGGGCGGAACCUCCUGGCCAAAAUUCAUGCCGGACUCGGCGGUCAUCACGCUGCAACUCGGUCCCUUGUAAGCAAGGCCUUCCGUACAAGCUUUUAUUGGCCGACGGCCCGGGCAGACGCACAGGACUUUGUCCAACGAUGCGUCGGUUGCCACCUCUUUGCAAACCAAAGCCAUAUGCCACCCACCGCCCUCCGAACUAUCCCCAUCACUUGGCCCUUCGCGGUCUGGGGGCUUGACAUGGUUGGACCCCUUAAAGGCGGAACCCACAAGCAAAAAUACUUACUAGUCAUGGCAGAUAAGUUCACCAAAUGGAUAGAAGCCAAGCCUGUUAAGACGGCCGAAUCCGGACCGGUGAUAGACUUUAUAUCCGGGGUUGUACACCGUUACGGCAUCCCCCACAACAUCAUCACUGAUAAUGGCACGAACUUUACGGCCGACGAGGUAAAACUCUGGUGCAAAAACAUGGGCAUCAAGCUCGAUUAUGCUUCCAUCUAUCACCCACAAACUAAAAGCCAGGUCGAACGUGCAAAUGGUCUUAUCAUGAGUGGCAUCAAACCCAGAUUAGUGCGGUCCCUCAAGAAAUCUAACAUGCACUGGGUAGAGGAGCUCGACUUCGUACUCUGGGGGCUGCGAACCACGCCGAAUCGCACCACCGGAUACACACCAUUCUUUAUGGUGUUCGGCGCAGAGGUAGUUUUGCCUUACGACAUAAUUCAUGACUCACCUCGAGUGCGCAUGUACGAAGAAAGAGAAGCCGAGCUCGAUUGGCAGGACAGUUUGGACGCAUUGGAGGAGGAGCGUGACGUGGCAAAAGCCCAUUCCGCAUUCUAUCAACAGCAGGCUCGAAGAUACCAAAGCAGAGAAGUACGGGCCAAAAAUUACAACGUUGGCGAAUUAGUUCUACGCCUACUGGACAAGAAAAAGGACAAACUCAAGCCCUAGUGGGAAGGUCCCUUCAUAAUUGACCAAGUCCUGACUGGUGGAGCGUACCGCCCACGAGAUGCAUCGGAUAACCGACUCGAGCCGAACCCAUGGAACGCAGCCCAUCUUCGAAGAUUCUAUGCCUAGCGCCGGACUCUGUGUUCGUCUCCUUCCUCUGUCCAUUUUUUAUAUACUGUCUGUCUUACAUUUCUCUCCUUCUCCUCUUCCUUUCUCUUAUAACCUCUAAAGGCUCAUCCAAUGACGUGCUAUUCGCACUCAUUAAACCCGGGGGCUUCUUUUAACAGAAGCUUAUUUAUACGGGCUUCAUGCCCAAUACAUGUGUUACACUUCCGCAUGUACCUUUUAUUUCACCAUUAUAUGCAUCGAUAUGACUUAAGUUUUGGCCAAGCUGGGUUGCCUGGCUCCUGUGCUUACCCCUAUGUUCCCAAUUAUUCGGCUAGGCGGUAAAGGGAGCACCUCUGUGAUUGCUACUGCCGGAUCAGCCGGAUGUGUACCUCAGACUGGGUGAAGCCGAAAGCUAGCGUUCUUAAGGGAAUAUUCGGUCGGUGAACUAAAAGAUGAUCUUUUAACUUAUCUAUUUAUACGCCCCCAGAUGCUUUUUCCCGCGUCUUUUUCACAGAAUGGGCAUGCCUCCCAGGGAAAGGAACCCCUAACGAAACUAUUCUCCCUGGAAGAUGUUGUUGGAAAUAUGCCCUAGAGGCCAUAAUAAAUUGGUUAUCAUUAUAUUUCCUUGUUCAUGAUAAUCGUUUAUUAUCCAUGCUAGAAUUGUAUUGAUAGGAAACUCAGAUACAUGUGUGGAUACAUAGACAACACCAUGUCCCUAGUAAGCCUCUAGUUGACUAGCUCGUUGAUCAAUAGAUGGUUACGGUUUCCUGACCAUGGACAUUGGAUGUCGUUGAUAACGGGAUCACAUCAUUAGGAGAAUGAUGUGAUGGACAAGACCCAAUCCUAAGCCUAGCAUAAGAUCAUGUAGUUCGUAUGCUAAAGCCUUUCUAAUGUCAAGUAUCAUUUCCUUAUACCAUGAGAUUGUGCAACUCCCGGAUACCGUAGGAGUGCUUUGGGUGUGCCAAACGUCACAACGUAACCGGGUGGCUAUAAAGGUACACUACAGGUAUCUCCGAAAGUGUCUGUUGGGUUGGCACGAAUCGAGACUGGGAUUUGUCACUCCGUGUAAACGGAGAGGUAUCUCUGGGCCCACUCGGUAGGACAUCAUCAUAAUGUGCACAAUGUGAUCAAGGAGUUGAUCACGGGAUGAUGUGUUACGGAACGAGUAAAAGAGACUUGCCGGUAACGAGAUUGAACCAGGUAUCGGGAUACCGACGAUCGAAUCUCGGGCAAGUAUCGUACCGCUAGACGAAGGGAAUUGUAUACGGGAUUGAUUAAGUCCUUGACAUCGUGGUUCAUCCGAUGAGAUCAUCGUGGAGCAUGUGGGAGCCAACAUGGGUAUCCAGAUCCCGCUGUUGGUUAUUGACCGGAGAGUUGUCUCGGCCAUGUCUGCAUGACUCCCGAGCCCGUAGGGUCUACACACUUAAGGUUCGAUGACGCUAGGGUUAUAGGGAAUAGAUGUAUGUGGUUACCGAAUGUUGUUCGGAGUCCCGGAUGAGAUCCCGGACAUCACGAGGAGUUCUGGAAUGGUCCGUAGGUAAAGAUUUAUAUAUGGGAAGUCAUCAUACGGUCACCGGAAUAAUUCGGGGGUUACCGGUAUUGUACCAGGACUACCGGAGGGGUUCCGGGGGUCCACCUGCCCCGGAGGGCCCUAUGGGCUGUAUGUGGAGAGGGACCAGCCCCUUAGUGGGUUGGGCGCCUCCCCCCUUAGGGCCCAUGCGCCUAGGGUUUGGGGGAACCCUAAAGGGGGGGAGGGCGCCCCCCUUGCCUUGGGGGGCAAGGCAACCCCCCUUGGCCACCGCCCCCUCCUCAGAUUGGAUCUAAGGGGGCCGGCCCCCUCUCCCUUGCCCCUAUAUAUAUGUGGGGGGUGGGAGGGCAGCCGCACCCAAGUCUUGGCGCAGCCCUCCCCCUCUCCCAAGUUCUCCUCUUCUCCCGCGGUGCUUGGCGAAGCCCUGCAGGAUUGCCACGCUCCUCCUUCACCACCAUUCCGUCGUGCUGCUGCUGGAUGGAGUCUUCUCAACCUCUCCUUCACCCCUUGUUGGAUCAAGGCGUAGGAGACGUCACCGGGCUGUACGUGUGUUGAACACGGAGGUGCCGUCCGUUCGGCACUAGGUGAAGGAAAUAUGCCCUAGAGGCAAUAUUAAAGUUAUUAUUUAUUUCCUUAUAUCAUGAUAAAUGUUUAUUAUUCAUGCUAGAAUUGUAUUAACCGGAAACAUAAUACAUGUGUGAAUACAUAGACAAACAGAAUGUCACUAGUAUGCCUCUACUUGACUAGCUCGUUAAUCGAAGAUGGUUAUGUUUCCUAGCCAUAGACAUGAGUUGUCAUUUGAUUAACGGGAUCACAUCAUUAGGAGAAUGAUGUGAUUGACAUGACCCAUUCCGUUAGCUUAGCACACGAUCGUUUAGUAUGUUGCUAUUGCUUUCUUCAUGACUUAUACAUGUUCCUAUGACUAUGAGAUUAUGUAACUCCCGUGUGCCGGAGGAACAAUUUGUGUGCUACCAAACGUCACAACGUAACUGGGUGAUUAUAAAGGUGCUCUACAGGUGUCUCCAAAGGUACAUGUUGGGUUGACGUAUUUCGAGAUUAGGAUUUGUCACUCCGAUCAUCAGAGAGGUAUCUCUGGGCCCUCUCGGUAAUGCACAUCACUUCAGCCUUGCAAGCAUUGCAACUAAUGAGUUAGUUGCGGGAUGAUGUAUUACGGAACGAGUAAAGAGACUUGCUGGUAACGAGAUUGAACUAGGUAUUGGAUACCGACGAUCGAAUCUCGGGCAAGUAACAUACCGAUGACAAAGGGAACAACGUAUGUUGUUAUGCGGUCUGACCGAUAAAGAUCUUCGUAGAAUAUGUAGGAACCAAUAUGAGCAUCCAGGUUCCGCUAUUGGUUAUUGACCGGAGACGUGUCUCGGUCAUGUCUACAUUGUUCUCGAACCGUAGGGUCUGCACGCUUAACGUUACGAUGACAGUUUCAUUAUGAGUUUAUGUAUUUUGAUGUACCGAAGGUUGUUCGGAGUCCCGGAUAUGAUCAUGGACAUGACGAGGAGUCCCGAAAUGGUCGAGACAUAAAGAUCGAUAUAUUAGAAGCCUAUAUUUGGAUAUCGUUAUCGUUCCGGGUGAAAUCGGGAUCUUACCGGAGUACCGGGGGUUAUCGGAACCUUCCCCGGGGGUUAUUGGGCCUACAUGGGCCCUAAGGGAGAAGAGGAAAGGAGGCAAGAGGUGGCCGCAUGCCCCUCCCCUCCCUAGCCCGAAUAGGACAAGGAGAAGGGGGCGGCGCCCCCCUUUCCUUUCCCUCUUCCUCCUCUUUCCCCCUUCUCCUUCUCCAACUAGGAAAGAAGGGAGUCCUACUCCCAGUGGGAGUAGGACUCCCCCUUGGCGUGCCCCGUCCUUGGCCGGCCGCCCCUCCCCUUGGCUCCUUUAUAUACGGGGGCAGGGGGGCACCCUAGAACACACAAGUUGAUCUUCAUGAUCGUUCCUUAGCCAUGUGCGGUGCCCCCCUCCAUCAUAUUCCACCUCGGUCAUAUUGUAGCGGUGCUUAGGCGAAGCCCUGCGACGGUAAAACAUCAAGAUCGUCACCACGCCAUCGUGCUGACGGAACUCCUCCCCGAAGCUUUGCGGAUUGGAGCCCGGGGAGCGUCAUCGAGCUGAACGUGUGCCAAGAACUCGGAGGUGCUGGAGUAACGGUGCUUGGAUCGGUUGGACCGGGAAGACGUACGACUACUUCCUCUAUGUUGCGUCAACGCUUCCGCUUCGGUCUACGAGGGUACGUAGACAACACUCUCCCCUCUCGUUGCUAUGCAUCACCAUGAUCUUGCGUGUGCGUAGGAAUUUUUUUGAAAUUACUACGUUCCCCAACAGUGGCAUCAGAGCCUAGGUUAUAUGGUUUGAUGUUACAUGCACGAGUAGAACACAAGUGAGUUGUGGGUGAUAUAAGUCAUACUGCUUACCAGCAUGUCAUAUUUUGGUUCGGCAGUAUUGUUGGAUGAAGCGGCCCGGACGGACAUUACAUGUACGCUUGCGCCAGACUGGUUCUACCGCCGUGCUUUGCACAUAGGUGGCUGGCGGGUGUCAGUUUCUCCAACUUUAGUUGAACCGAGUGUGGCUACGCCCGGUCCUUGCGAAGGUUAAAACAACACCAACUUGACAAACUAUCGUUGUGGUUUUGAUGCGUAGGUAAGAUUGGUUCUUACUUAAGCCCGUAGCAGCCAUGUAAAAUUGCAACAACAAAGUAGAGGACGUCUAACUUGUUUUUGCAGGGCAUGUUGUGACGUGAUAUGGUCAAGACAUGAUGCUAAAUUUUAUUGUAUGAGAUGAUCAUGUUUUGUAACCGAGUUAUCGGCAACUGGCAGGAGCCAUAUGGUUGUCGCUUUAUUGUAUGCAAUGCAAUCCCGCUGUAAUGCUUUACUUUAUCACUAAGCGGUAGCGAUAUUCGUGGAAGCAUAAGAUUGGCGAGACAACAACGAUGCUACGAUGGAGAUCAAGGUGUCGCGCCGGUGACGAUGGUGAUCACGACGGUGCUUUGGAGAUGGAGAUCACAAGCACAAUAUGAUGAUGGCCAUAUCAUAUCACUUAUAUUGAUUGCAUGUGAUGUUUAUCUUUUAUGCAUCUUAUCUUGCUUUGGUUGACGGUAGCAUUAUAAGAUUAUCUCUCACUAAAUUAUCAAGAAGUGUUCUCCCUGAGUAUGCACCGUUGCGAAAGUUUUUCGUGCUGAGACACCACGUGAUGAUCGGGUGUGAUAGGCUCUACGUUCAAAUACAACGGGUGCAAAACAGUUGCACACGCGGAAUACUCAGGUUUAACUUGACGAUCCUAGCAUAUAACAGAUAUGGCCUCGGAACACGGAGACCGAAAGGUCGAGCAUGAAUCAUAUAGUAGAUAUGAUCAACAUAGUGAUGUUCACCAUUGAAACUACUCCAUCUCACGUGAUGAUCGGACAUGGUUUAGUUGAUAUGGAUCACGUGAUCACUUAGAGGAUUAGAGGGAUGUCUAUCUAAGUGGGAGUUCUUAAGUAAUAUGAUUAAUUGAACUUUAAUUUAUCAUGAACUUAGUCCUGGUAGUAUUAGCAUAUCUAUGUUGUAGAUCAAUAGCUCGCGUUGUUGCUUUCAUAUGUUUAUUUUGAUAUGUUCCUAGAGAAAAAUUGUGUUGAAAGAUGUUAGUAGCAAUGAUGCGGAUUGGAUCCGUGAUCUGAGGUUUAUCCUCAUUGCUGCACAGAAGAAUUAUGUCCUUGAUGCACCGCUAGGUGACAGACCUAUUGCAGGAGCAGAUGCAGACGUUAUGAACGUUUGGUUAGCUCAAUAUGAUGACUACUUGAUAGUUUAGUGCACCAUGCUUAACGGCUUAGAAUCGGGACUUCAAAGACAUUUUGAACAUCAUGGACCAUAUGAGAUGUUCCAGGAGUUGAAGUUAAUAUUUCAUGCAAAUACCCGAGUUGAGAAAUAUGAAGUCUCCAACAAGUUCUAUAGCUAAAAGAUGGAGGAGAAUAGCUCGAGCAGUGAGCAUGUGCUCAGAUUGUCUGGGUACUACAAUCACUUGAAUCAAGUGGGAGUUAAUCUUCCAGAUAAAAUAGUGAUUGACAGAAUUCUCUAGUCACCAUCACCAAGUUAGUAGAACUUCGUGAUGAACUAUAAUAUGCAAGGGAUGACGAAAGUAAAGUCCCGAGCUCUUCACGAUACUGAAAUUGACGAAGGUAGAAAUCAAGAAAGAACAUCAAGUGUUGAUGAUUGACAAGACCACUAGUUUCAAGAAAAGGGCAAAAGGGAAGAAGGGGAACUUCAAGAAGAACGGCAAGCAAGUUGCUGCUCAAGUGAAGAAGCCCAAGUCUGGUCCUAAGCCUGAGACUAAGUGCUUCUACUGCAAAGGGACUGGUCACUGGAAGCGGAACUGCCCCAAGUAUUUGGCGAAUAAGAAGGAUGGCAAAGUGAACAAAAGUAUAUUUGAUAUACAUGUUAUUGAUGUGUAUUUUACUAGUGUUUAUAGCAACCCCUCAGUAUUUGAUACUGGAUCAGUUGCUAAGAGUAGUAACUCGAAACAGGAGUUGGAGAAUAAACAGAGACUAGUUAAGGGUGAAGUGACGAUGUGUGUUGGAAGUAGUUCCAAGAUUGAUAUGAUCAUCAUCGCACACUCCCCUAUACUUUUGGGAUUAGUGUUGAACCUAAAUAAGUGUUAUUUGGUUUUUGCGUUGAGCAUGAAUAUGAUUUGAUCAUGUUUAUUGCAAUACGGUUAUUCAUUAAAGUCAGAGAAUAAUUGUUGUUCUGUUUACAUGAAUAAAACCUUCGAUGGUCAUACACCCAAUGAAACAAGUUCAUUGGAUCUCGAUCGUAGUGAUACACAUAUUCAUAAUAUUGAAACCAAAAGAUGCAAAGUUAAUAAUGAUAGUGCAACUUAUUUGUGGCACUGCCGUUUAGGUCAUAUUGGUGUAAAGCGGAUGAAGAAACUCCAUGCUGAUGGGCUUUGGGAAUCACUUGAUUAUGAAUCACUUGAUGCUUGCGAACCAUGCCUUAUGGGCAAGAUGACUAAAAUGCCGUUCUCCGGAACAAUGAAGCAAGCAACAGAUUUGUUGGAAAUCAUACAUACUGAUGUAUGUGGUCCGGUGAAUAUUAAGGCUUGCAGCCGGUAUCAUUAUUUUCUGACCUUCACAGAUGAUUUGAGUAGAUAUGGGGAUAUCUACUUGAUGAAACAUAAGUCUGAAACAUUUGAAUAGUUCAAAGAAUUUCAGAGUGAAGUGGAAAAUCAUCAUGACAAGAAAAUAAAAGUUUCUACGAUAUGAUCGCAGAGGUAAAAUAUUUGAGUUACAAGUUUGGCCUUCAAUUAAAACAAUGUGAAAUAGUUUCACUACUCACGCCACCUGGAACACCAUAGUGUAAUGGUGUGUACGAACGUCAUAACUGUACUUUAUUAGAUAUAGUGCGAUCUAUGAUGUCUCUUACUGAUCUACCACUAUCGUUUUGGGGUUAUGCAUUAGAGACAGCUGCAUUCACGUUAAAUAGGGCACCAUCUAAAUCCGUUGAGACGACACCGUGUGAACUAUGGUUUGGCAAGAAACCUAAGCUGUCGUUUCUUAAAGUUUGGAGUUGCGAUGCUUAUGUGAAAAAGUUUCAUCUCGAUAAGCUCAAACUCAAAUCGGAGAAAUAUGUCUUCAUAGGAUACCCAAAGGAGACAAUUGGGUACACCUUCUAUCAUAGAUCCGAAGGCAAGACAUUCAUUGCUAAGAAUGGAUCCUUUCUAGAGAAGGAGUUUCUCUCGAAAGAAGUGAGUGGGAGGAAAGUAGAACUUGAUAAGGUAAUGGUACCUUCUCCCUUAUUGGAAAGUAGUUCAUCACAGAAAUCUGUUCCUGUGACUACUACACCAAUUAGUGAGGAAGCGGAUGAUGAUGAUCAUGUAACUUCAGAUCAAGUUACUACCGAAUCUCGUAGGUAAACCAGAGUGAGAUCCACACCAGAGUGGUACGGUAAUCUUGGUCUGGAAGUUAUGUUACUAGACCAUGACGAACCUACGAACUAUGAGGAAACGAUGAUGAGCCCAGAUUCCGCAAAAUGGCUUGAGGCCAUGAAAUCUGAGAUGGGAUCCAUGUAUGAGAACAAAGUAUGGACUUUGGUUGACUUGCCCGAUGAUCGGCAAGCCAUAGAAAAUGAAUGGAUCUUCAAGAGGAAGACGGACGCUGAUAGUAGUGUUACUAUCUACAAAGCUAGAAUUAUCGCAAAAGGUUUUCGACAAAUUCAAGGUGUUGACUACGAUGAGAGUUUCUCACUCGUAUCUAUGCUUAAAUCUGUCCGAAUCAUGUUUGCAAUUGCCGCUUUUUAUGAAAUCUAGCAAAUGGAUAACAAAACUGCAAUCCUUAAUGGAUUUCUUAAAGAAGAGUUGUAUAUGAUGCAACCAGAAGUUUUUGUCAAUCCUCAAGGUGUUAACAAAAUGUGCAAACUCCAGCGAUCCAUCUAUGGACUGGUGUAAGCAUCUCGGAGUUGGAAUAUACGCUUUGAUAAGUUGAUCAAAACAUAUAGUUUUAUACAGACUUGCAGUGAAGCCUGUAUUUACAAGAAAGUGAGUGGGAGCACUACAGCAUUUCUGAUAAGUAUAUGUGAAUGACAUAUUGUUGAUCGGAAAUAAUGUAGAAUUAUUCUGCAAAGCAUAAAUGAGUGUUUGAAAGGAGUUUUUCAAAUAAAGACCUCGGUGAAGUUGCUUACAUAUUGAGCAUCAAGAUCUAUAGAGAUAGAUCAAGACGCUUGAUAAGUUUUUUCAAUAAAUACAUACCUUGACAAGAUUUUGAAGUAGUUCAAAAUGGAACAGUCAAAGACAGAGUUUCUUGCCUAUGUUACAAGGUGUGAAAUUGAGUAAGACUCAAAGCCCGACCACGGCAGAAGAUAGAAAGAGAAUGAAUGUCAUUCCGUAUGCCUUGGUCAUAGGUUCUAUAAAGUAUGCCAUGCUGUGUACCAGAUCUAUUUUAUACCCUACCGCUGAGUUUGGCAAGGAAGUACAAUAGUGAUCUAGGAGUAGAUCACUGGACAACGGUCAAAAUUAUCCUUAGUGGAAUAAGGAUAUGUUUCUCGAUUAUGGAAGUGAAAAAAGGUUCGUCGUAAAGGGUUACACCGAUGCAAGUUUUGACACUAAUCUAGAUGACUCUAUGUCUUGGUCUAGAUACAUAUUGAAAGUGGGAGCAAUUAGCUAGAGUAGCUCCAUGCAGAGCAUUGUUGACAUAGAAAUUUGCAAAAUACAUGCGGAUCUGAAUGUGGCAGACCCGUUGACUAAGAUUCUCUCACAAGCAAAACAUGAUCACACCUUAGUACUCUUUGGGUGUUAAUCACAUAGCGAUGUGAACUAGAUUACUGAAUCUAGUAAACCCUUUGGGUGUUGGUCACAUGGAGAUGUGAACUAUGGGUGUUAAUCACAUGAUGAUGUGAACUAUCGAUGUUAAUCACAUGGUGAUGUGAUCUAGAUUAUUGACUCUAGUGCAAGUGGGAGACUGAAGGAAAUAUGCCCUAGAGGCAAUAUUAAAGUUAUUAUUUAUUUCCUUAUAUCAUGAUAAAUGUUUAUUAUUCAUGCUAGAAUUGUAUUAACCGGAAACAUAAUACAUGUGUGAAUACAUAGACAAACAGAAUGUCACUAGUAUGCCUCUACUUGACUAGCUCGUUAAUCGAAGAUGGUUAUGUUUCCUAGCCAUAGACAUGAGUUGUCAUUUGAUUAACGGGAUCACAUCAUUAGGAGAAUGAUGUGAUUGACAUGACCCAUUCCGUUAGCUUAGCACACGAUCGUUUAGUAUGUUGCUAUUGCUUUCUUCAUGACUUAUACAUGUUCCUAUGACUAUGAGAUUAUGUAACUCCCGUGUGCCGGAGGAACACUUUGUGUGCUACCAAACGUCACAAUGUAACUGGGUGAUUAUAAAGGUGCUCUACAGGUGUCUCCAAAGGUACAUGUUGGGUUGACGUAUUUCGAGAUUAGGAUUUGUCACUCCGAUCGUCGGAGAGGUAUCUCUGGGCCCUCUCGGUAAUGCACAUCACUUAAGCCUUGCAAGCAUUGCAACUAAUGAGUUAGUUGCGGGAUGAUGUAUUACGGAACGAGUAAAGAGACUUGCCGGUAACGAGAUUGAACUAGGUAUUGGAUACUGACGAUCGAAUCUCGGGCAAGUAACAUACCGAUGACAAAGGGAACAACGCAUGUUGUUAUGCAGUCUGACCGAUAAAGAUCUUCGUAGAAUAUGUAGGAACCAAUAUGAGCAUCCAGGUUCCGCUAUUGGUUAUUGACCGGAGACGUGUCUCGGUCAUGUCUACAUUGUUCUCGAACCGUAGGGUCCGCACGCUUAACGUUACGAUGACACUUUCAUUAUGAGUUUAUGUAUUUUGAUGUGCCGAAGUUUGUUCGGAGUCCUGAAUCUGAUCAUGGACAUGACGAGGAGUCUCGAAAUGGUCGAGACAUAAAGAUCGAUAUAUUGGAAGCCUAUAUUUGGAUAUCAGAAUCAUUCCGGGUGAAAUCGGGAUUUUACCGGAGUACCGGGGGUUACCGGAACCUUCCCCGGGGGUUAUUGGGCCUACAUGGGCCCUAAGGGAGAAGCGGAAAGGAGGCAAGAGGUGGCCGCGCGCCCCUCCCCUCCCUAGUCCGAAUAGGACAAGGAGAAGUGGGCGGCGCCCCCCCUUUCCUUUCCCUCUUCCUCCUCUUUCCCCCCUUCUCCUUCUCCAACUAGGAAAGAAGGGAGUCCUACUCCCAGUGGGAGUAGGACUCCCCCUUGGCGCGCCCCUCCUUGGCCGGCCGCCCCCUCCCCUUGGCUCCUUUAUAUAUGGGGGCAGGGGGCACCCUAGAACACACAAGUUGAUCUUCGUGAUCGUUCCUUAGCCGUGUGCGGUGCCCCCCUCCACCAUAUUCCACCUCGGUCAUAUUGUAGCGGUGCUUAGGCGAAGCCCUGCGACGGUAAAACAUCAAGAUCGUCACCACGCCGUUGUGCUGACGGAACUCCUCCCCGAAGCUUCGCUGGAUCGGAGCCCGGGGAGCAUCAUCGAGCUGAAUGUGUGCCAAGAACUUGGAGGUGCCGGAGUAACGGUGCUUGGAUCGGUUGGACCGAGAAGAUGUACGACUACUUCCUCUACGUUGCGUCAACGCUUCCGCUUCGGUCUACUAGGGUACGUAGACAACACUCUCCCCUCUCGUUGCUAUGCAUCACCAUGAUCUUGCGUGUGCGUAGGAAUUUUUUUGAAAUUACUACGUUCCCCAACACUAGGAUCAUCAGUGAUUUGGAUCACGACGAGUACGACUCGAUCAACCCCGUUCUCUUGAACGCUUCCGCUUAGCGAUCUACAAGGGUAUGUAGAUGCACUCUCCUUCCCCUCGUUGCUAGAUUACUCCAUAGAUUGAUCUUGGUGAUGCGUAGAAAAUUUUGAAUUUCUGCUACGAUCCCCAUCAGAUGUUUCUUACUAACCAUGUAAUAUAACAUAACUAGUCGGGCACUUGUCUGUUCACGCACUAAUGACCCCUACGCCUGGUCUCCAUGCAUUCCCCGGUUCUUAUAUAACCGCAUGGGAAUUCGGACACACUCCGGACCGUCAGGUCCCGAGGCUGAAGCGAAAAGGUCGGCCAUGACAAACGAUCUACAAUUCGGCUAGAUGGCAUUAUAAAUGUCAAUUAAAUUACAUAGUCAUUCUGACUGAUUGUAUUCCUCUUCAAUACCAUCUAACAGGCUGUCUAAUUACAGUCCUUUUGGGAAUACUUUGCGGCCAAUUCUACUUGGCCGUAUACUAAGCUUACAGGGAUCUCUUUCCCAUCGGGCCCCACAGGACCAACCUCGGCCAUGUGGUUGGGGUUAGCCUUUGUGUACCGCGUCUUUACCAUGGCCUAGGCCUCCCUAGCGCCUUGACGGCAGGCCGAUAUCUUCCACAAUCGGAAGCGUCGCCGUGCUCCCUUUAGCUUCUCCGCAAGCUCUCCAAGACCUUCGGGCAUGGAGAUGGAUGGCCACAAGGCCUGGGGACACCUUGCAUCGCCUGCCGAACUCGCUCGAGCAGUUGCGAGAGCUCGGGAAGAAGGUCAACCUUAGAACCAGGCAUCUCCUCUGCAGGACGACCUGUUAGCACACCUACAGACAUUACUCUGUUAGUCGACCUCCCCGCCGAACUUUUUUCAAAGGUUCGUUCAAGCACUUACUAAAUAUGCCGCGCCGAAGCCGCUGAUUCUUCUUAACAGAGUCCAACAGCUGGGCACGAACAUCCUUUAGUUCAACGCCCAGCUUGGUGUUGGCAUCUUGGAGAUCGUUCUUCUCCCCCUCACCUUUGUCAGCACCUUCUCACCAGCCUUCAGCUGGCGUAGGAGGUGUUGCCUUUCCGGAUUCAAUCCGGCGCCAUCUGCAAUUCCAUUUGUCAGAUAUGCACCCCUGUCGUGCUUCGCAAAAUGCUUAUCUUUCGAAGUGUAUAUUACCAGAGGGGGUCUCCUUGGGCUCCCCUACUGCGGCUAGUGCGGCCUCAAGUUGGGCUUUGCACUCUUCCAGCUCCUGGGACAGUAGGGAAUUCUUUUCUGUAAGAACCUACAUAACAAAUGAUCCUUAAAUCAGUUAUUCUAACUAUUUCAAGUCUCGGGGGCUACUGGUAUAUAUAUAUAUAUAUAAUUACCAAAAUUUUCUUACCCGUAUGUCUUUCACAUAUUGCUUCGUGGCUCUGGCUAGACCAUUUUGAGCGGCAUGGAGGUACGCAUCUCCUGAAUUGAAGGCAUCUAAUGCCUCUUGGGAGAAACAAGCGUCGCGAAGAAUUGUCCGGCGAUGCCUGUGGUUCAUGGCACUCUCCACCUCAGAGUUGGUGGCAAACAACCUGUCCACAUCCUCCGUCGGAAGAGCGUCCGGUGCGCGCCUUGCGUUCGCCUCCGCCUUCGGACCAGGCUUUGGAGCCUGGCUGGUGGAGGCGCGAUUGGCAGCCUCUCCGAAUAUAGUCCGGCGAGGUCUCUUUGUCUUGAAGAGAGCACGAGUGUUGAUAUGCCUUGAAGGUAUAACACCUGUGACAAGGGGGCGCGCCAUACCUUUGCGCUGACGCCUCGGUCCGGACUGCACCUCUUUUCUACCCACGGGGCCCUGCGACCCCUCGUUGGCUUGUCACCACAGGUGCGGCCUCCCGUCUCAGAAACCUCCCCUGCCAAGCUCGGUUGUAAUCAGGAAACUGAAAACACGAGAGGGCAGACCCAUAUUCGGGGUAUUGGGACUUCGAUCUCAGUUACCUGGGAGGCCGGGAUUAGCCCUGGGUAAUCGGCCGUAAUGGCCACCAAGGCGUUGUCCUUGCUCAAUUGAUGGAACACUCCAUCAAUCAGCUCCACAGAUAAGUCCGGAUCCUCUUGAGAGGCCGGGUCGAGGGACCGUCCUGGGUCCUUGGGCUGUGGAGGAGGGCUGUUUAUUUCUUUAACAGCCUGGCGCAGUUCCUGCAUUGAAGUCAUUAGACUGAAUAUUUGACAAUGGGAAUAUAAAACGGAUGGGCAAGUAAAUGUGACCACUUACCCAGCUUGGGGGAUUGUACAUAGAAAAUCCACCCUGUGGGUCGACACAGAGAAAUUCCUCCUCUUCUCCCUUGUACAAAGCGGACAAGGUCUUUGUUAGAGCCGCAGCCGAAUACAGCCCCUUACGGCCAUAGCGGGUGGCGUCGUCCUCCCCGUUGAACUCCCACAUGGGGUGGCCUCUAUACUGUAGCGGCUGCACCCCUCGCAUGAUGCAUGUGGCCAUGACCCCGAUCAUGGUCAGUCCGGAAUGAGCUAACAAUCUUAUCCGGUCCAUUAGGUAAAAAAAGUCCUUGUCACUUUCCCUCUGAGGGCUCCGUGGAUGCCAACUUAGGCGCUUCUUUAGUGGAGCGCUGUCAAACUCAGGGAGGCCGAUCCAGACAGGAUCCGGCAGCGGGACGUCCUCUAUGUAAAACCAUUCCGAAGGCCAGUCCUCGGACGCCUUCUUUGGGGUUCCGGAUAGAUAUCCGGUCCCGGCGAUGCGCCACACUUCGGCUCCGCCCACAUGAUACAUUGACCCCUUCUUAGAACGGGGCACACGGUAGAAUAGCUCUUUCCACAGCCCGAAAUGAGCCUCAACAUCCAAAAACAGCUCGCAGAGGGCUACGAAGCCCGCGAUAUGCAAUAUGGAAGCAGGCGUGAGGUUCUGUAGCUGGAGGCCAUAGAACUCCAGAAGCCCCUGGAGAAACGGAUGAAUUGGAAAUCCGAGCCCUCUUAUUAAGUAAGGGGCAAGGCAUACCCGCUCUCCUUUGGAGGGAUUGGAGACGCUCUCCGCUUGCUCGCCGCCAUUAUAGGUGGCAAGUCCGGCUCGAACCGGGACCAUAUAGGCCGGGGGGAGAAAUCCCUUGGUUUGGAGCUCCACUAGCUCGCUGUGCGGGAGGGAACACCUCUUCCAAUCUCCAGGUUGAGGGCUGGAAGGGCGAGAGGAGGAGCUGCGGCGGCCGGCCAUGAUAGAAUGGACCUCUGUCGGAUACGCUCUGAUGAAUACAAGCAGAAGGGAGAAGGUGUGGUUUGGAUCUAAAUCCUCGUCCCCUUAAAUAGUCGGCUCAUUUACGCGGCUAGGGGUGUGGAUGUAAAAACACUCAGACUUUUCAUAUUCGUUUGACACGUGGAAGAUGGCCAUUAUUGGGCGUAGAGGCCAAGGAGCGCAACAUUUACAAGAAACCAUACUUUAUUCAACAGGUACACGGAAUUUGGAGGAGAACCCGCCUUGCAAUGUCGAAGACAAUCUGUGCGCCGGACUCAUUGUCAUUGAAGCCUGGUUCGGGGGCUACUGAGGGAGUCCUGGAUUAGGGGGUGUUCGGAUAGCCGGACUAUACCUUCAGCCGGACUCCUGGACUAUGAAGAUACAAAAUUGAAGACUUCGUCCCGUGUCCGGAAGGGACUUUCCUUGGCGUGGAAGGCAAGCUUGGCGAUACGGAUAUGUAGAUCUCCUACCAUUGUAACCGACUUUGUGUAACCCUAACCCUCUCCGGUGUUAGUCCGUAGGACAACAUACAGAACAACAAUCAUACCAUAGGCUAGCUUCUAGGGUUUAGCCUCUCCGAUCUCGUGGUAGAUCUACUCUUGUACUACCCAUAUCAUCAAUAUUAAUCAAGCAGGACGUAGGGUUUUACCUCCAUCAAGAGGGCCCGAACCUGGGUAAAACUUCGUGUCCCUUGCCUCAUGUUACCAUCCGGCCUAGACGCACAGUUCGGGACCCCCUACCCGAGAUCCGCCUGUUUUGACACUGACAGGGCAAUACACCAGGAUAAGGGAUUACUUGCAGGCUGUGUUAGACACCAAUCCAGGUAGUAGGUGCAUUGUCAGUACUAAGUUCCUAAAAGACCAUCCAAGCAUCAAUCCAAGGUUCCAUGGUUUGUUCAUAUGUUUGAAUGCUUGCAAGGAGGGAUUUCUGAAUGGAUGCAGGCCAUUCAUAGGUGACUACUAAACUGUGUUAUAUAUGACAUAAAUGUGGUGCACCAUCACUACUAGGGAAAACCUUGUACACGGAAUCUUAGCAGCAGCGCGGCAUAAAAACAGGCGCUGCUGCUAAGUAGGAGCAACGUGGCUACGGAAAGCUCGCUACUAGUGCAAACUUAGCAGUAGCGCAUGACUCUUAAACCGCGCUGCUACAAAAAUCCACCGACAGUACACAAUGACAUAAGUUUACCAGUAGCACGGCGCCAGGGAGCGCGCUGCUGCUAAUGCCAUAGUAGCAGCGUGCUUUUUUGUCACCUCGCUGCUGCUAAUUUUGAAAUUGUGCACAGGGUUGGCCCGUUUAGCAGUAGCGCGUGACAGGAAAGCGCGUUGUUGCUAGCUCUUAGCAGUAGCGCGCUUUCUCUCCCGCGCUACUGCUAAGAUGCAGCACCCACCACCUUUUCCACCUCCCCUCCCCAUCUCCUCUCCUCCCUUUCCCCUACCUCCCACAUCCUCCCUCUCCCACUCUUCUUCUUCCUCAAUACUUCUCCCCCCAUUACUCUCCCUCUUCUACCUACCUUUCUCUCUCUUCAUUACUCCUAGCUAUAACUACACCACCUCCAUUAAUUCAUCUCCUUUCUCUUUUUCCUCCCCCCCUCCACUAGUUGAAGUUGUCUCCUCCCAAAUUAGCUAGCUAGGUAGAUGUAGCAUUUAGUUAAGUGACCUAUUUGCCCCCUAACUAGAUCUUUCUUUGUCAAGAAGAGCUUUAUGCACUUUUGACCUCCCUACAUCAUCAUCUCCACCGUGUGCUCGAUCUCGAGAUAGAGGUGUGAUUAAUAUUUCAUGCUUUUGCAAAAUGGAAAUAUAUGUUCCUAUUUGGUAUACACACUUAAUUAGCCAUUAUUAUGCAUGGGUCCAAUGAUGUAAUAUAUAUAUAUGUUCCUAUUUUGUAUACACACUUAGCCAUUAUUAUGCAUGGGUCCAAUGAUGUAAUCUAUAUGUUCCUAUUAUGCUGAGAAAAAGAAAUAUGGAAACUGGUUAUAGCAGUAGCGCUUUAGUGAAAAAGAGCUACAGCUAGUCAAGGUAGCAGUAGCGGUUUCUGCAGAAAAUCGCUAUAGCUGCUCGUAAUAGUAGUAGCGCGUUUCGUGUAAACGCGCUACUGCUACGUCCACUUAACCCAAAAUUCUCCAUCUACUUGCUUCAUCCCGCCUCUUUUCCCCCAAAUCCCCACUCUCUCUUCCCCGGCCCCAUCGCACCGCCGCGCCCGCCCCCGACCUCGGCGCGCUCGCCCCCGACCCCGCCACNNNNNNNNNNNNNNNNNNNNNNNNNNNNNNNNNNNNNNNNNNNNNNNNNNNNNNNNNNNNNNNNNNNNNNNNNNNNNNNNNNNNNNNNNNNNNNNNNNNNNNNNNNNNNNNNNNNNNNNNNNNNNNNNNNNNNNNNNNNNNNNNNNNNNNNNNNNNNNNNNNNNNNNNNNNNNNNNNNNNNNNNNNNNNNNNNNNNNNNNNNNNNNNNNNNNNNNNNNNNNNNNNNNNNNNNNNNNNNNNNNNNNNNNNNNNNNNNNNNNNNNNNNNNNNNNNNNNNNNNNNNNNNNNNNNNNNNNCCCCGCCGCCCCCGACCCAGGCGCGCUCGCCCUCGGCGCCGGCGCUCGCCCCCGACCCGUCGGCCCUCGCCUCCCUCCUCUGCUUCCUCCCCUCCCAACCUCGGCCGUCGUCGGGCCUGCCUCCUCGCCCUGCACCCUCUGUAAACCACCCCCCUCUCUCUCUGCUAGCUAGGGUUAAUUUACUUAGGUUUUAGUUAUGUUAAUUAGGUUAUCUAUUUAGUUAUGAAUUUAGAUAGGUUUCAAAAUUUGCUGAAUUUAUAUGCAAAUUUGAACUAGACAUGUGAUAUGUGGAUAUGUCAUGUUUUGGACAUGUCAUGUUUUGGUAAAUGAUCCGAGUUGCCUAUGUUACGCCGGAAUGUUGAUUCAUUUCCGUUCCGGUGAAUUUCAGGCGCUCGAUAUGUCCAUUUUUAGCAAAGGUCAUGCCGAAAUUUCCCGUGAAUAAAGGCAUGAUUUGUGCUACAUAGUUGGCAUAUCGAGUGCUGGCACAUAGAUUUCUUUUUUAUCUCAUUUCUCAUUUAUUCAUACUUUUAGAAAUAAAUGAGGACACUUAAUCAUAGGAAACAUGUCGAACAACGAAGAAACUGGGCAUUCUGACCAAGAUGCAGACGAGAUGGAUUAUGAGGGUGAACAAGACUACCUCGACUUUUUGACUGCUAAGCAAGGUUUGCAGGUCCGCCUCCAUGAUGUUACUGACACCGACACCGACACCGAUGGCGGCGCCGAGACCGGUGGGGAAGGUACCACCGGGGAAGAUACCGGCGCCGAUGCCGGUACCGAAAAGAGGCAUAAGAAGCAGAGGAUACGAAAACCUAACAAACUAGGGAUUGGACGACUUGUGAUCACAAAGAUGGCACCUGACAAGUUUGAGCCGUUAGAGCCAGAAGAACCUUGCAAGUGCUAUGGGAACCAAGUAGGAUGCAUCCUACGGGAAUGCGCGAGCAUCAAUGACGAUGACUUAAGGAGUAAAGAACAUUUGACGCAGUUGCUCCUAACGAAGUUGCACAAGAGAUUCAAGUUCCCUGAUCGGGAUGAUAACAUAGAACAACCGUGGGAUGAUCCGAAGAUGAAAAAGAUUAACAAUCACGCCAUGGGCAUGUUCAGCAAUGAAUUGGCUUCCUGGAAAUCGAGGGUGAUUCGAGCUAUUGAGGCUGAGGAACCCCUGUCAAAGAUUCUGGAGGAAAAUCCGACACUUACGGAAGAGGAGUUCGAAAAGUUCAAGGCCACUUGCGCUACCGAGGACGCCAAGGCUAAGGCUGCGAAAUUCAAGAGCCUUCAGCAAAGGAGCACGGGGAAGCAUCGCAUCGGAAGCCGUGGCUACCUCGGUAAAAGGCCCAUAUGGGAUAAGGAGGACGCGGAACGUGAAGCCGCGGGUCUCCCAGACCCCUUUGCGAAGUUCACCAACCCCUUGGAGCAUGACUUCAUCAGGGCCCGCUACAAGUGGGACAAGGAGAAAAAGGUUUUUUACACGGACAAGAUCACGAGGAAAUUGAUUAGACUACUAGAGAAGCAACACCAGCUUGCAGCCGAAAACCCUACUUCUCCGAUGAGGCCCUAGUGGGACACCCCUCUCAAUCGGGCCUUGAACGAACUUAAGGGACUCCCUUUGGGCCAGCGGCCGCAAUAUGGUCGUGUGCACAGCGCUGGAGAUGGCGCCACGUGGAAGGUGUUUUACAACGAGGGCCCGGAGGCCAAGAAGCAGAAAAAGAAGUUUAGUCAGGCGGACAUCGACGUGAAGGUGAAGCUUGCGGUCGAGAAAAAAGCAGCUGAGGACGCGAAAAAAGCAGCCGAGGACAAAUAUGAGUUGUUACAACAGGCAGUCAAUGCAGCUGUAACUGCCUGCAGAAAUGAUUUUGCUACUAACUUGGUUCCAGUUAUCAUCAACUGGACGAAGGAAAAUCCAGACAAGACGGUACAUGAUUUCCCGUUGCCCAGUUUCAAUGGGAUCAACUCCAUGAACAACAACAUCAUCGCACCAUCACUUACCCACGCAACCGGGCCUCCUCUCGCAGCCGCUCCCGCUCAUAGCAGCCCGUCCUCAGUCUCUGGCACGCUCGGUGGGCCUUCGUCUUUGGCUGAGCUCAACGCCAUCACGGUAAUUACAUGUCGCACCACCAUAUAUUUAUAUAAUAUUCCAUUUUUGUUGCCUUUCGGAUGUUUUACGCCACAUACAUAUGUGUUUGCAGGCGAAAGAAACCCCGUGCACCAUACUCUACUUGAUCAAAGGGCAGAAGGUGGAUGUGGGAAAGGGGAUGAUAAUGGAACCCUUGCAACCCACGUUCCACAACUAGCCGAUCCCUGCUGGGCACUUCAGGGUUAGCUUGUCCAGUGUGAAAUCAGGGCACGAGGAUUUGCCUCCUCCAGUACAGCAUGUGGGAGUGGACGACGAGACCCCACCGCGGAUUGGAAGCUGCAAGGGUUGGGUGCUGCUAUGGCCGAAGAAUCUUAUUCGUCUGGAGCCGGCCGAGAGCACACCAAUAACCACACAUCAACAAGCAUGUGCGGAGACCACCACGCCGCCUACGCAAUUACCAGCUCCUGUAGUGCCGGGUGAGAGCGGCGGACGACAUGAUGAAGGGGGUGUAAUAGUGCUGGCUGAUGUAAUUUGUCUUGUAGAACAGAGAAUGGAUGAUGAGACGGAGGUUGACCCUAUGGAUUUCCUCAAUACAAACGCGUAUGACUGUGACAUAGAAUUGAUGAGUCAACCAUAUGACGAAUCGGGCUAUCAGCUUGCUAAUGAGGAUAUGGAUGAUAUGCCCGGGCAGGAAGGUCGUAGCAGGGAUUGCAAAAAGUCUCUCUUCAUGAAAUCCUCACAGGACACGCCUGAAGAUGCCGCCUCAACACAUGCUCAACUAUCCCAGCGCGAGGGUCGUACAGUACUUAGCCCGAGAACACUGGGGCAGGGGUUAAGGAAGGGUCUAGAAGGUGUGCCCAAGAAAAAGGAGAGAAAGAGAUCGGGGAAGAUAGCUGCCUCUAAACAAGCCAGAGCACAUAGCAGCCAAAUGAUGCAUUCUGAAGAGCGUGUACCCGUGAAAGGUGCGGCCAUGUUCCAUCUCACGGGCGAGCCGAUGCUACCGCCGAAACCGCUGGAGGCACUAUCAAGGGAUCUCAGGAGACUGCACGACCAUGUGCUGUCGACUGAGAAAAGCCUACUAGCCUCAAAGGAUCCAGGAUAUCCGACAUACGCGGCUCGUGUGCCUGAGGGGAAGUGCUAUGUCGAGACACGGCCCGCGGAGGUGUUCUUCAUGCGGUUUGACCAUAUCUUUGAGAUGUUUCUGACAAGGCGGCUCGAUUUUACAAUCGUCCGCCUUUUUGCGCUACAUAUGAGCUCUGUCAUGAACAGUGAAGAAGUCUCGCAAAUCUGUGUGGCGGAUCCGUACUACAUGCACGAGUCUUUCUUGAGUCUCGGCGACUUUGAGCGUGAAACUGCUAGGGACUACCUCCAGAACUUCAUGGUACAAAAUAAGGACCGGGAAAUUGUCCUCGUGCCUUAUCAUCCAAAGUAAGUCAGUUUCGAACAACCCUUUCAUACAUUUCAAUCAUUCCUUCUCUCUCUAUGGGGAAUAAUUUGAGGUGUCUUUUCCCCGCAGCAACGGGUGCGCCGUCCUUAUCGUUCUUUAUCCGCAAGUCUCCCAUGCCGUGUAUUUUGACCCUUCCAGAGACUACGAGAAAAAAGAAUACACCCACAUAAUGAAUAUUCUAGAUGAUGCUCUCCAAGGCUUCAACUUUAGAGGUGGCCACAUGCAGAUCAGGAAACAAAGGAACAAGAAGAUGGGUUUCGCGCAUAAAACUAACUUCUCCUGCAUCCAAGUCCCAAAACCAAGCAAGAAGGAUGGAUUGUACAUCCGCCAUCUCAUGAUUCAGUUCAACACGGAUCACCAAAAGCUUCGCAUGAGAAGCAGAAAUGACGAUCAUAUCCACAAGUGGCUAGAAUCUCAUGGAGAAGCGGAUUAUAAACUUAGAGAUGACUUCUUUCGCAUCCAAAGCGACAUUGCGACGAUCAUCAUGAAAGAAGUCAUCGAUGAGAAGGGGAUGUUCCACCACGGCCCUAUAUCGCGAGCUGACGUCCGAACUCGCAUAGGCAUGUAACGUCUAAACCUCACGCCUUUCAAGAAGCUAGGGUGCAUCCUCGAUGAUAUGGAAGGAUGGAACUUCUAGUGAUUUAUGAUGCCGAUGAUGAUGAUAUGUGUCGGUUGAACUUGUAUACUAUUUGUAGCGAUGCAACUUUGUGAUGUCCACGAUCCCUGCCGAACUUGCGUAACGCUACUUUGUUACUUUGCGUACGAUGACCUGCGUACCUCUAGUUAAUUAAUUUGCGUACUGUAUGUUGCAUCUAGUUGCUAACCCUUUCUUUUUCGGUGUUCUCUAGUAUAUUUUGUUGCAUAUAUAUGAUUGUGCAUCCUCUUCAUGAACAUGUAUCUCUAACAGGUACCUAGUUUCUUGAUGGCGAGAUGGAACUGCUAUGUCGUGUAAAAGGGAAGGUUCCGGGGGUGUACAACGAGUGGCAUGAGUGUCAGGAGCAAGUGAAUGGGUUCUCGGACACCAGCCAUAAAGGCUUCAAAAGCAUACAAGAAGGAGAAGCUAGUUACUUGAGGUUCACGCUAGCGCGAGAGAGGACUCGUAACCGCCAUCUCAUGUACUGCAUAGUUCCGCUCUCACUCAUAGUGAUAGCUCUUCUCGCGUAUACCUUUGUUUAGAUGGAUGACGUUGUAGUUGCAAGUAUUCGAGACUUGCAUGUAUCGCUAUUUUUGAGAUGAUGACAAGAUACCACUUUGUGUUGGAUGAUGAUUAUGACGAGACUAUUUGUAUCACUAGUAGAAAAAGGGUCAAACGUGAAGCACAUUAGUGCCGGUUUGUAUUUGAGCCGGCACUAAUGUAUACAUUAGUGCCGGUUCCAACGGCUAGCCGGGCCGCUUUCAUUAGUACCGGUUCGUGGCACGAACCGGUACUAAAGGUCGUCCUACAUAAACCCUUCACACCCGAGCUCGCUAUGUUCUUCCCCUUUCCCCUCUCCUCUCUGUUCUUCCCCUCUUCCUCUCGAGCUCAUCACACAUUUUGCCCAAAAUUUGUCAAGAUUUGAAGGCCCCCAUCCAUUCAAAUGAUCACAAAGGUUAGCAACUUUGUCCUUUCAUCUCUCAUUGCUAGAUUAGCUCUUGCAAUGCUUUAUAUAGUGAUUAAUUUGUGAGUUUAGUAAUUUGGGAGGAUAUAUAUAUAUAUGUGCUAGUAUUUGAUUUAUAUGCAAUUUGAGGUCAAAAAUAACACUUAGUUUGCAUAUGUAGGUGUGGUUUACUUAGUGCCUUCUAAAUCUCCGUCGUAACCACCGUCGAUCGCCCGCACCGUCCCGUCGCUGGCACCACCUUGUGGUGAGCCUCUUGUUCAUGAAAUUUUAUAUAAAAAUUGAUGUUUGUGUGAUUUGGAUAUAUAGUUACUCGUAUAAUUAUCUUACCCGUACGUUGUUUGUUAUACAUAUAGUGCCAUGGUUUUGAUAUCCGUCCCCGUCGGCCCUCGUCCUUGUUAUGAUUCGGAUGUGGUAUAUAUAUUCUCUUUUAAAACUAGUUGCAUUUCGUAUUUAUGAAAAAUUAUGCCCAUCAAGUUGACAUAGAAAUUUUUUCUAGGAGGUAUGUGAACCGUAAAUUCCAACUGACCCUAUUGUCGAGCGGUUAAAUUUAGUUGAAAGAGAAAAUGAGUAAUUGAAAGAAAAAUUGAAAAGAAUUGAGGGGGAGAAGAUGGAAUUGGAGUUGCAUGUUGCUGAUGUCGUCGAUGCUCACAAGAUCAAUAUGGAGAAAAUGCGCUUGAAUAUUAGAAAGAUUACAAAAUAUGCCAUCGAUAGUGAGGCUUGGUAUCAUUAUGCUGUUGAAUCCAUUGUUACCUUAGUUGCGAUCUUGAUCGUAUUUGUUGUUGCAUUUAAAUGCUUUAGCUAGAUUUAAGUGUUGUAUGAACUUGUCUUAAUUUGGUCUAUUCGGUGUUGUGUAAUGAAGAUGAGCUGGCAAUGGAUGUACGAUGACCGAUGCUCUCCCCAGUUCGUUGAGGGCGUGCAUAGUUUUUUGCUUGCGGCUGAGGCAAACAAGCGGGUGUAUGGUUUUAUGCCUUGUCCAUGUCCUUGCUGUAAGAAUGGUCACAAUUACUCUACGUCAAGAACCAUUCACGUCCACCUGUUUAAGUCCGGUUUCAUGCCCCACUAUAAUGUUUGGACCAAGCACGGAGAAAGAGGGGUUAUGAUGGAAGACAAUGAAGAAGAAGAGGACGACGACAGCUAUCCUGGCCAUGGGUUCCCUGAAUACGAUGAUACAACAAUGGGGGAAGAAGCUGAGCCGGUAAUGUGGGAAGAAGCUGAGCCGGCAAUGCGGGAAGAAGCUGAAGAAGAGGCAUCAGGUGAGCCCGUUGAUGAUCUAGGUCGGGCCAUUGCCGAUGCAAAGAGAAACUGCGCAAGUGAUUUGGAGAAGAAGAAGUUGCAGCGCAUGUUAGAGGAUCACAAAAAAUUGUUGUACCCGAAUUGCGUAGGUGAUAAGAAAAAGCUGGGCACCACACUGGAAUUGCUGCAAUGGAAGGCAGAGAAUGGUGUAUCUGACAAGGGAUUUGGAAAGUUGCUGGUAAUGAUAAAGGAUAUGCUUCCAAAGGACAACGAAUUGCCCGAGAGUACGUACGAAGCAAAGAAGGCUGUCUGCCCUCUAGGGUUAGAGGUGCAGAAGAUACAUGCAUGCCCUAAUGAUUGCAUCCUCUACCGCGGUGAGUAUGAGGAUUUGAAUGCUUGCCCGGUAUGUGGUUCAUUGCGCUAUAUGAUCAGCCGCGAUGACCCUGGUGAUGUCGAGGGCGAGCGCCCCAGGAAGAAGAUUCCUGCCAAGGUGAUGUGGUAUGCUCCUAUAAUACCACGGUUGAAACGUUUGUUCCAAAACAAAGAGCAUGCCAAGGCGAUGCGACGGCACAGAGAAGACCGUAAGAAAGACGGAAAGUUGAGAGUACCCGCUAACGGGUCGCAGUGGAGAAAAAUCGAAAGAAAGUACGGGAAGGAGUUUGCAGAUGACGCAAGGAGCGUAUGGUUUGGUCUAAGCUCAGAUGGCAUUAUUCCUUUUGGGGAGCAGAGCAGCAACCAUAGCACCUGGCCUGUGACUCUAUGUUUGUAUAACCUUCCUCUUGGUUGUGCAUGAAGCGGAAGUUCAUUAUGAUGCCAGUGCUCAUCCAAGGCCCUAAGCAACCCGGCAACGACAUUAAUGUGUACCUAAGGCCAUUAGUUGAAGAACUCUUACAACUUUGGAAUGGAACAGGUGUACGUGCGUGGGAUGAGCACAUGGGGGAAGAAUUUGACCUAAAGGCAUUGUUGUUCGUGACCAUCAAUGAUUGGCCUGCUCUCAGUAACCUUUCAGGACAGACAAACAAGGGAUACCGCGCAUGCACGCAUUGUUUGGACGAUACCGACGGUAUAUAUUUGGCUAAUUGUAAGAAGAAUGUGUACCUGGGACAUCGUUGAUUUCUUCCGAGCAGGCAUCCCGUAAGAAAGAAAGGCAAGAAUUUCAAAGGUGAGGCAGAUCACCGGACGAAGCCUCGCCACCGUACUGGUGUUGAUGUACAUGAUAUGGUCAAGGAUUUGAAGGUGGUCUUUGGAAAGGGUCCUGGUGGACAACCUGUUCCGAAUGACGCUAACGGACGCGCACCCAUGUGGAAGAAGAAAUCUAUAUUUUGGGACCUGCCCUAUUGGAAAGACCUAGAGGUCCGCUCCGCAAUCGACGUGAUGCACGUGAUGAAGAAUCUUUGUGUGACCCUGGUUGGCUUCUUGGGCGUGUAUGGGAAGACAAAAGAUACACCUGA
rnacentral:lncRNA from 1 species